UGCUUAACUUCAGUUCCAUUGUCUGAAGCUUAAGUGCAGGUGCAAAAUGAUGAGCUCUGAUACCAUGAGCAGUUCGUUUGUUAGAAUUUGAUUGCAGGUGCUGGGAUAUUUUCCCAUUCAUAUAGAACUUGUCAUUAGCAAUAUUGAAUUUCCAGUCAGACUCAUAUUUUUGACCCGGCGGCUCAGUAAAAUCCCCACCACUUGGCUUUGCAGAUCAAGUUAUGAUCAUAGCCCCUGCAUGAAGCAGGGGAUGUUCAACAUGCUUGUUAUCCAGAAUUUCAAAGAGUAUCUGCUCAUCUUGAAGAUCAAGAAUCAGCUUAGGCUUUCCUACAGCAUCCACUGGCUCCCAUAUAAUAUUGUCUAACCAAGAUCCUUCCAUCAUAUCUCUGUUCUGCAAUGAAUGUUUGCUAAGGCGUUUUACAGCAUCGCUUUGGCAGAGCUUCAUUGAAACAUUCUCUUUUAUACCAUUUGCAUGAUUAUGAUUAUCCAGAUCCAGCUGAGAUUCUAACCUCAAAAGCUGAGGAUGGUAUCUGCUUUCUGUGAACAGAUGACUUGUAUUAUCUGAAGAACUUUUAGAACCAAAGGUCUCCGACAAAACAGGAGAAUUUUGCAUAUUAACAAUACAAUCCUUCUCAUUUGGGCUCAUAGAUCUCUCAUGAAGAUUAUUUUGUGCAGUAUCAAGUUCAAUGCCCCUCAUUAAAGCAGAUUCUACGUCGGCUCCAGCGAUUUUAUGACUCUCUCUAGAAUUGUCACUCGCUGCAGGAGAAUUGUCCCAGAGGAUGUUUUCUUCCCAAUCAUGCUGAUCAAGAGGGAAAACGUUCGGACUCGACAUUGACUUCCAUCCUACAGAAAGAUUUACAUUUGACUCCUCUUUCAUUGGCUCUGAACAAAUACAAGAGUCCUUCCAUUGCUCAUCACGCUGUUCCGAUAUAGUGGCAGCAUCUUGCUCGACACCAAACUUUACUAAUUCCAAGUCAUCAUCAUUAAGUGAGGAGAUAUCAUGCUGAAAAAUAUUGGCCUGUUUAAAUAAUGGAAAACCUAGACCAGAGCCCUUUAGAUACACCUCUUCAUCCUCUUCAACAAGACUUGAAACGUCCAUGGUGUUGUAUUUAUCUGGAAAUAAAGGGUGGAACGGAGGAUCCAGAUAAUUAAAACAAGAACAAAGUAAAAACCGUGAAUGUAAGUUUACGAAGAAUAGCUCCCAGAAUUCAAGAAAAUUGGAAGCACUAAAAACAAAACCACCUACCUUUAGGAGUGAAAUUCCUUUGAUCUCUUUUCUUCCCCUUCUUCAAGGGCUCAUGAAUACCAAAAAUUUCGGAGAACCUUAAGAUCACCUUUCCUUCUUCCACACAUAAAACUGGAAGUGGAGUCGAAACUUGUCCGUCUAAUGGCCCUUUCAGAAUAUCAGCAAGCUCCUGUUGGCUUUUAUGUUAACAGACUAAAAAAAUUGGUUUUUAAUGGUAUUAAACAAACAUGUCAGCAAGAUUGGGUUUUGCAUUUGCGAGAUGACAGACAUAAUUAUAUCGAUAAACUUAAAUGGAAUAAAAGAAAGACAGAUGCUGCACGUCCAAGAAAUAGGUAGCUUGACACAAACCGAUCCACACAGGACAACAAAAUAUCUUUACCCACUAUAUCUUCGGCAUCAACUAUUAAAAGUGCAGAAUCACACCACCUCUUGCUUAUGGAUGAAUGAUGAAAUCACAGUCAACCUUUUUCAGUUUAUUUCAAAAAGACUAAUCAUUUCUUUCUUUCUUUCUUUUCUUUUUUUUUUUUUGAGGGCUAAGAGACUAAUUCUUUCAUUUCACACACAAGAUAAUGAAACAUACAAAUAAUAGUACAAAUGAAGUACACUAUUCAAUGUUUAUAAUUGACAUCUAUAUAAACCGUGAGGUGAGGUUUAUGUCUAUCACUUAUCCUACAUAUGUGUAGAUGGAACUCUGCUAGUGGGAAGUAUGCGGAUCAAAUGAACUGGUUUCAGCCAAUUUCUUCUUUCUUUUUGGGGCGGGGGGGGGGGGGGUGUGGUGGGGGAAACGUUCAGGUUUUGAUUACUCAUAAUUUCAGAUAAAUUGAUAAGAUAUAGGGCCCACUUGGGACUGCUGCACUGUGCACAACAGUACAGAACAGGGCCAUAAUAUCUAGCAACCUUUGCAACAUGCAGCAACUGAUAUGAGUAAUUCAUUCCGAGGAAAAAUAAGACUCAUUAUUUGGCUUUGUAUCCAAAUGCAAUCCAGUGAGAUGGAGUGAUAUAAUGGAAAUCAUGUAGUGGGCCCAAUCAUGAAGUUUGUAAAAUUCAUUCUUGAAAUUGCAUUAUUCACGAAAAACAAAUAGACCUUCAUUUAAUUUCAUUAAAUGUCCAUCUCUAUACAUAUGACAACAGGAAUAUGAUAAGAGCAAGUUUUGACAACACGAUUUCCCAACACGUAGAUCAGCAGGAGACAAAAGAUAUGAGUAGGCAAAGAACUCGUAUACUUAUUUGAUUAACCCACAAGUUUUGAUGGUUUGAUAACAAGUGCAUAAAAAACACCUACAAAAAAAGCCCAACAUAAAAAAGCACCCACAAACUACAGGUUGUACCACCUGCCCAUAUGGUCGGUAACUAGUUUGACCAAGAAGCAAAAAUACACACAUACAACAAGAGUAGUUUCCGCAAAGCAGCUCAGGACUUAAUUAUUGCCACAAUUACACAUUUCCAAAACAGUGUUACUAAUAAACAUUUGUUGCUUCUAACCAAAUAGUGCAUAUUUCCUCAGAAUUUUCAUUGCAAAUAUGUUACGUAAUUAAUUUUCCCAUAGGAUAUCCUACAAGCUCGAUGCCACAUCAUGCCAUAUCAUGAAUGCAGGAUAUUCAUCUAAGAUAUGAAUCAAACAAUCCUGAAAAGCAAAAGCAUAUCAUCCUGAAUCCACUGAUUCAGAGUAAUCGCAUUUCAUUUGCAACAAUUCCACCACUUUCUUUCAUAGUCUUUAGAGUGAAAAGUGGAAACUAAGGGUUACUCAUCAAAACACUUUUUUAGACAUUCUAAUACAAGAAGACAUUUACACGAUAAAAGAAAUUGGAAAAAAAAAAUCGUAUGAGCAAUGGAAUGACAAUAUCUAGAAAUUAUAAGAAAAUUACUAGCCACCAACUGACCUCAUCAUAAUCUUGUACCCCAGCUGUCGUAUCUUCUUCAGCACCCAAAGAGCCAACUUGUAGAUUGCCCUCUGGGGAUUUUUCCCCAUCUGGAACUGCUAUAGCACACUCAGCCUGCUCCCCUGGAAAUAAGACAGAAAGUCAAACACCAAAUAAAACUAUGAAAAGAAAAUCAAUUGUCAAAAGUUAUCAAAUGGUCAAGAACCAAUGAUAACUAGAUAUCCAAAGAAUAAAUUACUAUACAUUCAGGAAAGAAGGAAACUCAGUCUCCAAAAAAUGACAAGCAUAAAACCAUUCUGGUCUCCACAGAUAAAAUUCUCCUAUCACUAGGUAAGAUUGCUUCAUUAGAUAACCUAUAAACAUUCAAGUAAGUUCACCAUAAUUUGUAAGAGACAAAAAGGCUGGGGUCAGUAAACAUGGCAAAGGCUAAGUCGCAUUCAAACUAUGUACUCACCAUCCAACAACAUAACAAAUCAAAGCAAGUUUCUUCUUACAUGUGAAGAAGUUACAGAACAAUAAAAAACCCAUACUCAUACAAACAGUCGAUGAAAAAUGAACAUAGAUAUGAAAAUUUCUGUUUAGACAAUCUGAUGCUGAAAACACUCCAACCAAACAGAUGUUAGAGCUGGGCAAAGAUAAAUCGUAUUUUCAUGGAUACAUGAUGACAAACCAAACCAAAUGUCCACAUGAAAUAAACAAUUACAAUGAUCAUAACAAUAAAAGUACACACACACACAUUGAAAUAUCUGUAUAUAUAAGGUUAGUAGUUUUAAAUCUAAGAUUAGGUAAAGUAAACCUGAUAAGGUUGUUGUUGUAUCUUCAGUUUCUUUAUCCACCUCCUCAUGUUCCUUUUCCAGCUCCUCGUCCUCAUCAUAAUUUUCAUCAUCAAAUGGAAAAGCUGUAGGUUUCAAAGCAGCAAGAGAAACUUCAGCAGCAAAGUAUUCCUUCUUUGGUAACAAGUAGUCCUCCUCGCUAGCAAUUUGAAUCUCUGGCCCCUUAUACUGCUCAUCAAUAUCUUCAUAAUCUACCGCAUCUUCAGCCUUCUCGUCAUAAUCUAGAAGUACAAAACCAAAAAAAUUUAAUCACAAAACUUAACCAGAAAGAACAACUAUUUAAAACCGUGAAUUGGACUGAAGUUCCAUCCAUCAUUCAGUAAAUCUAAAAUAGGAAUAAUCCCAUCUGUCCACCUAACAAUAAAUCAGGUAUUGAAGCUGUAAUCUAGUACAAAAGAUCAUUAACUAGAUUGUGAUGAAAAAAAUAAUCAUCUGUCUGCUAGAGGGUAAAGAAAUUAUAACCUCGGUAGUAAAAAGUACCAAGGAAAAAUUUAUAGUCAGAAACUGCAUAAAGAACGAACCAAUAUAGAGGGUAAAGCUUCUUAAUUCAUCAAUGACAAAACACAGACCAUCAAAGAAGAUAAUGAAUAUUACAAAAGUGAACCAGAGGUCCAUUAACUAAAAUCUUCCCCGCAGUGUAGAACACCAAAAGCUAUACAAAAUUUUCAAAAAGGAACCCUUGAAACCCAAGACAUCAGAAUAAGAAUCCAAACUAACAAAAUUAACUCAAAACUGGAUCCCAAUCAAGCUGAAUGAAAAAGAAUGUGUAAUCUUGAAAAUCCUUGGAAGUUGACACCCAAAUAGUAGAAAAGAAUCGAAUCCCGUCCUAUAACCAUUAAAUAUCUUCAUCUUUUUCUCCUGAAAAGAUACGGCUAUUUCUUUCUUGCCGAAUCACCCAAAAGAGAACUCCAUACAAAGGUAAUAUCACAAUUGAUUAUGAUAGGUUAUACUAAUUGUGGAAUUAAGGGUAUCAAAGGCCAAGCUGUAUUUGACUGGAGGGUAAUUCCACUUACUGAAACCACUUCACACAUAUCCAAAUCCCAAAAUAAUAGCAAAAGAAGGCCCCCUACUGGAUAUUGGACAAUAAUAAGUCUUGCAUGGACCAUUCUGUUUGUGCUAAUGAUUCAAAGACUUUUCCAUUACUAUUAAUGCUAAAUGCUUCUACAAUGUCUUUAAACAAAGGAAAUAAUUAUUAAGAAAACAAGUUGAUGAAACAAAGAUACUAACAGAAAACCAAAAACUGCAUGAGAGAUUUUCCUGGGAAACAAACAUCACCUCGUUCAAUAGCAUCUACCGGCGGUUGUGGUGAAUUUACUGACAACUAAAAGGUGAAAAACCUCAUUAGUAUCAUACCAUUGAAGAGACACUAAAGAUUCCACCAACCAAACACUAAAAACAAAAAAGUUGAAAACAUGAUUGAGAAUUCCAUACGUCUAUAUCCGUGAGAGACGGACCCAACUUGUCAGCAACUGCAGCAAGGUGCUCCUUUGCGUCCUGAAAAUUAAUUGCAUCACUACCAUUAAUGUGAUCAACAGUUCUAGAGACGAACUCUGAUGGCCCAAGAAAAAAAAUGAAAGAAAAUUCCAAAUCUAUAAAAACAGAAAUUGUAAACUCCUUUUGGCCAUACGAAAGCAAAAUUAAAUGUCAUUCUGUAGAGACCAAAUGGAUACAAAAACAUGAUAUAAUGAUACGUCAUUAUUUUCUUCAGCAUAUGUACCACAGAUCAAUACAUAAUAGCAGAACUGACACCAAUGAGCAUCAAAAUUAUCAGGUCUAGCCUUCUUAUUUCCAAUAAGUGGAUGCAUCAAAAGAGUAGAAUUCAACCAUGGUUCCCAAAGUAAAUGCCUCAAAAAAAAUCAAAAGAUUUGUGACAUGGAUGAACUUUAUAACAUGCACAAUUCACAAGGAAAAGCUAAAAACAUCCAACUGAAGACUGUCAUGCAUAGACUUGUCGGCAUGCAGCUAGCUAUUAUCAUUAUUAGUUAAUUUAUAUGCAAAUUUAUACAUGAAACAUGUUCAGAUUAUCACCUCAUCAAGGUAAUCAACAUCGAGAUCGCCAGCAUUGUCAACAUUCCCGAACAUAAACCCCAAAAGCCUGUUACCUUCGCUAACAUCCUCAUAUUCUUCCGCAUCAUCUGGAAAAUCAAUCAACCAAACAAGAUUUGAGAAUAAAAAUUUUCAUGCCGUGUACAAACACAUUUUAAGGUGUCAAAAGAAAAUAAAAAUGCAGUACAUAUAGACAACAAGCAAAUGCUCAACCAAUCGUGAAAAGGUUCCAUGUAAAACCAUUUCUAAAAGAAACAGUCUGUCACAUGUUACAUAAUAAUUACAGCAUUCAUUAGACUGGAGACCAACCUUUAUGUUGUCAUUCGUACUAGAGACUAUUUGUAACUAAUCAGCAAUAAAUUGGUGAAGUGAAACCAAAAACAAGUGAGCUACUUUCUGAUGAAGCAUCCUGGACAUGUCCAUUGAUAGACUCUGAGCACUUCUUACCAUAAAAUCUUUUUUCAAAACAAAAAAAAGGAACAAAAACUCUGAGCACUCACUCCCAGCAAAAACGGAAAUGAAUUCAUAAAAUGAAAGUUCUAAAAUGCAGUACUAACGAGAUAAUUUCACUUAGGAGCCAUUUAGAUAUUUCAAAUGACGAUAUUUUGCAUAUUAAAGGAGUAAUCAAUACAACAUUUUGAUGGUUCAUACAGUAUGCAUUACAAAUUUAAUUUAUACUCUCAAACCUAGUCUUUCCGCCUCUAUUUUCAUUAUGCAACUACAAAUUCAUGUGUAUAUUAAUAGUUCAUAGAAGACUAUUCAAGUACAGUACAACAUAAUACACUUUUUUUUUCCCCGAAAUGAAAGUAAAUAUAACAUUAAAUCAAGAACUCACUAGACUAUGAAGCAACCAACCUUCAUCUCUGCCAUCCUUAGAAGCACUACCCGAAUCGUAGCCAGCCAUCUUUUUAGUUACAGCUCUGAAGUAACAAUCAAAGUUGAAUCAGAAACAGGUAACAAAUACUCAGAAGACCCAUAAUAGAAAUUCCAAGUUCUGCACUUUUUCUUCUUUGCAGUAAAUUUAAGGGAAAAUACCAGUAAGUUAUAAAUUAUAAACCCUAAAAUGGCAAAGCUCAUACUGACAAAAAAUUCAUUGUAAAGAAUUAAAAAAUUGCUAGAACGAAAAAUAAAAAAUUACUUAAGUAAUUGCAACAAGAGGUUACUAUAACUUCAUUUGAAUAACUGAAUUUCAAAAGGAAACAAAGCGAAGACAAGCUAAAUUCACAAGGAAAGGUAAUCGCCACAAAAAAGAUAAGAUAUGCACACACAUAUUUAUUUAUUUAUUUAUAUGAGAGGUAAAAGCAAACCUCUUAGGUUACAGAGAUUUUAUCAUUGCAAUCGAGAAUAUGAAUACGCUCAUGUAGAAGAACUAGAACAAGAUUCGAUUUGAAUUGGCAAGGAGAACAGAGAAAGUGAGCGAGAGCGAGACAACAAAAGCGGAGAUGGGGGACUAACAGAUUAUUUUUAUAUCAAUAUUAUGUGAAUAAAUUAAUAAAGUUUUCGCAUCUGAAACGGAUAUGGAGAGGUCGGGUUUUAGAGGAAGGCGGUCACAAAUACGCGUUUGCAUCGGGUUAAUUGCAACCUGAUACAAAACAAAUCCUAUUGGCCAUACCAUUGAGAAAUUUCGUGGCUUCGACGGAGACAGCUCCAACCCGAUCUCCCGCGGUCUAGUACAAAAGCCUCACACUCAUGAGAUUUGAAGUUUCAGGCUGAGAUAACUCGUCUAAACUCUAAUUAAUCGGCUUGAUUCCUGAACCGACUUAUGAGACUAGUAAGGCUUCGCUGUCCUCCCCAUAAUUGGUAUUUUCUAGGUUGGUAAAUUGCAUUGCAGGUUUGAGCUGGGUUUUUUCAAGCCCAAGCCCAUGUAAUUGGUAAGGGGCCCAAACGUUCUAAAAGUCCGUCCAAAUUUAAGAGGGCCGGGCUUUGAUUUUUAAUAAUUUAAUAAAUUUUUAUUUUUAUUUCUUUUUUAGUGGGUGAGAGCUACAUAUGGCACUUUCAUUUAUAGAUGGAAACUUUUCCAACAACAUAUCAAUUAUCCACCAAAUCUCAAAAAAAAAAAAUAAUAAUGUACAUAUAAGUGAAAAAUUUGCUUAAUUUUGAUGACAAACAGAGAAAGUGCCUAUAAAAUAAAAAUCUGCAAAUUACAAGUGAUAAAAUACAUAAACUAGGUAAAUGUUAAAUACCCUUUAAUAAUUUUUAAAAGAAUUUGUGGUUGAAACUGAAACACAAUGGUUCUUCUUCGUUAUCCACUUUCUAUGGCAACAAUGAAACAUUCUUGUUCUUCUUCUUCUUCACUCUCUCUCUCUCGAUUCUUCCACAAAACUACUCUUCAUUACAACAUCAACAAUGGCUUCAGUGAUCUCCGAAUUUCUACAAUAAUUAAAAAAAAUCCAAGCUUACUUGGGGUGGAGUUGGUGAUGGUUUGCUGUUGGUUCGCGUGAGUUCCUGGUGCUGCUGGUUUCGGGUGGAGUUGGAGCUGAGAUCGCUGCUGCUGCAUUGUGCGCGUUUGAUUGGCUACAGCUACGUCGCACGGGUGGUGCUGGUGGGUGUGGGUCGCUGUUGCGUCGCCUGUUUGGUGCUAUACUGCUGCUGGGUUGCUGGCUCUGCCGCGUCGCUCGUGGACGGUGGAUCGCUAGUGAAGAUGGUGGCUCCUUAAUUCGGUGUGAGGAUGAGGCAGUAAACGUCAGCUUUUGGCUGCCGGUGGAAAGUGCAGUGAGAGGCUGAUGGAGCGGCUGGAGAAGUGGAGAUAAAUUUAGGGAUUUUAGGUUUUGGGAAUUUGGUAAAGUCUAAUACCAUCAAAAUCCUUUUCCUAAUCUAACACCAUCUGUUAGGCUGCUGUUCUUAGAUAGCAGCAACGAAUUGAAGAGAAGAAUUAUAGAAGAAUAAUGAGGAGAGGGAGAAUUGUGUGGGAUGUACCCCAUUUCCUUCAAAAUACCCAAUAUAUACCUAAAAUUAUAACACUCUUAAAUUUUACACAUAUAUACUCUAAAAAAUUAGAGAAAAUACAAAAAUAGCCACGACUAAAUCCUCAUAAAAUUAAACCCAACUCCUCGAAGUCGGGUAAAUAGUCGAGAAUACUCGACUUCAACCAAACCAUACACAAUUAGUAAUUUAGCAUAAAUUCUCGACUUUUUCAUAUUAGUCGGGUAAAUAGUCUAGAAUACUCGACUUCAAUUGAAAUAAAAAAUUAUUUGAAAAAUUCUUAAUUUUUUCAAGUAAGUCGAGUAAAGAGUCGAGAAUACCUGACUUUAAUUUAACCUUAUCUAAUAUUCAUUCAGCAAAAAUUCUUGACUUUUCAUUGAAGUUCGGUAAUUGGUUGGGAAUACUCUACUUAAAUUGAAAUGAAAAUUUUCCUUUUAAUUAAGUCAGGAAAAAAGUCGAGUAUACUCGACUUUGGUUGCGUUAUUAUGUAGAAGUCAUGAGAGAGGAAGUAAACGUAAAUAGAUGGUUGAUAAGUGCAUAUUUUCCAUAUAUUUUGCUAUUAAUUUCUCCAUCUUUUUCUUGUUUUGGUCUUAAAUAUUCUAGUUAUUUUAGUUAAUUUUUAAUUUAGUAAAUUAUAUUUUAUUGUGUUAAUUUUUAUCUUAGUUUUAUUUAUUUUGUUAUUUUAGAUAUAUUCUGGAAUUAAAGAGAAAUUAAAUCGGAGUAUUCAGGAAAGAAAUUUGAUUGAAGAUUGAGAGACAAAAGUGUACAAGAGAUCAAGAAUUGGAAGGAAUUAGAAAAUAAAGAAUAUUCGCCCAUUAAAGCUUGUAUGGGCCAAGCAAAAUGAAUGUUGCACAUGGAGCUAAAAUUGGAAAAUGGAAGUAAAAAAGGAAGCCAAGCCAAUUAACAAGCCAAGCCAUCACAUGAAAGCAAAAUUGGAAAACAAAUAUUGCAAACCAAAAGUGGCCAGCACGUGAAAGGAAGGAGAAUAAAGCCUUUUGGCUUUAGGAAAUCAUGGCAAAAUCAUUAUUGGCUUAUUAAUUGAAGCAUGAAAGUGGCGGUUAUGGGCUUUGGAUUUAAUUCUUUCCAUGCAAGGAUUUAAAAGAAGCCACAAUUGAAGCAUUAUAAAAAGGAUCAAGCGGAAGCAACACAAGAGGAGAAUCGGCAACCAAGAGGGGAAUCGGCACCAAGAGAAACUGAACAAUUUGUAGCCGCAAAGGAGAAGAAAAAAUCAGCAACCAGAAUUAAAUUGAAGCAAAGGCAGCCGCUUGAAUUAAUCUCCAUGAUUAGUUUUGUCAAUUCUUUUAUUCCCAAUUCAAUUAUGUUAGGCUAGAUUUUUAUUUGGUUGAGGGUGAAUUCAAAACCCCGAACAUGUCACAUGAUUAAUUUUUAAUUUCUAUCAUUCAAUUUAUUUAAUUGAGAUUGUUUAUGUUCUUCUAUAAUUAAUGUUCAUGGUUUAUUCUUAUUUUACUUGAGUAGCCAAUUAGAUAGGACUUGAAUAAAUUCUAUUGCUAGAUUAAAAUUCUUGAUCCGUAAUUGUCUUGAUAUUUUAAUCAUUAGUGGUAUGUUGGAAUCAGUGAUUUCGAUUGGAGAACAUAACCUAAGUUAAAUAAUCCGAACUUGUGUGUUUAUUGCCUAGAUCAACCUAAUAUCUUUCUCUGUUUAAUGCUUCUAUUAUCUUAAAUUUAAAGAGCUUGUUUUAAAUUAUUUAAUGGUUAGAGAUUAGAUGAAGAGCUUGUUUUGCCUAACGACACACUAAGGAAAGAUUGAGACUAACAGAGCUUAUUGUUGUCUACGGUUGAUAAUUUCAAUAUAAAUUGAUGAUAGAAUUGAUAUAUUAUGUGCAUGUUUGGUGGUGGCGAAUGAUCAUUUAACCAAAGUUUUCAUCAUUAUUAUUUCUUUCUCCUUUAAUUAGAGUUUUUAUUAAAUUCUUGUUCGUAGUUUCAAUUUCUUUAUUUCUUACUAUUUAGUUAAAAACUCAUAAACCCCCCUUUUAUUUAUAAUUGGCAUUUUGGGUUAUUUUCAGGGACCUCCCCUGAGGUUUAGUGUAUCUACAGUCGGAUAGAAAGUAUGCAUGUAAUUACAGGGACCUCCCCUGGCGUUAGUGUUCCGUUAAAUGGACUGUCAGUUGACUGUUUAAAUUCCAAAAAUGCCCCUCCCGCCAAAAUCUAUUUUGAUUCAUAUGAUUAACUGAUGGAUAAUAGAAUUCACACAAAAAUAUCCAAUGGAUAAAAAAAAAUUACACACUAAAAAAAAUAAACAUUUUUCUGCCAAUAUUACCGUUGUAAAUAAACGGUAAUAUUCAGCAGCAGAGCCUAUAAAUGGAGCCUUUUGUAGGCUUAAUAAAUCACCAUAGCACACUCUCUUCUUCUUCUAUUUCUUUUAAAAAAUUCUUAAAAACUUUGGUUCUGCAAUUUGUUCAAACUGAUCACUCAUUCAGUUGAACUCAUCAACAAAAUCAUUCAAAAAAAUCAAGCUUAAACACUGCCUGAAAGCCAUGGAUUCUCAAAGCUCUAAUACAUCAAGCACAUCAACCAUGGAACAAGUUUAUGAGCCAGCUUGGAGGAACUUUGUUAAUGGAAAGCUCAUUAGGUUUUCAAACCGUAUAUGCAAAUGCCGUAUGAGAGCUGAAGUAAAGAUAUCUGAAUCAGAUAACAACCCUCACAAGCUUUACUAUAAAUGCAUGAACAAAACAAACUGUGGGUACUUCAAGUGGUGGGUUCCAGAAAGGAAUGAUUUCAACAAUGGAGCUUUUUUUGAAGGAAAUAUGACUGCAAUUGUGAAUGUUGAUGCCCUGCAUGCUAUUGAAGCUAAUGUGAAUGAAGUGAAGACUCUAGUAAAGAAGUUACAAAAAUCUAGAUUUAGUGAAGGGGCUGUGAAGAUGAUGAUGUACUUGAAUCUAACAUUCUUUAUACUCAAUCUACUAAUGCUUAAGAUGUAAUAGCUUAUGUAAUCCUAUCUAUAUCUAUGAAAGGCUAUAGUAAAGUGUAGUUGUUCUAGUGCUUUUCAAAUGCUAUGUGGCAAAACCUAGUUGGAAGCCUAUAAUAUCAAUGAAAUCUAGUCGAACUCCUUAUAUGCACUACAAUAUUAGCAUAUAUAUGAUAGAUAAGUGAUAAUUACAAUAAUAAGUAAAUAAUAUACUUUAACUUAUAAGAAGCAAAAUCAGAUCAAUAACAAAAAGCAUAAUGAAUAACACAAAUAAUAUAUACUUUAACUUAUAAUUUCAUAUUCAUUCCAGCAGUAUCAAAUGUCAUCAAUGGCUGAAUUCGAUCAACCUAUACAAAUCAGCAGUAGCCAAUGUAUAUAGUAGCAGCAUGCGUGUGUUUAUACAUAAACAUCACAAGUACAAAAUAAACAAAAACUCAAACCUAUAUCUAUGGUUGAGUGACAAAAAGAUGAUACAACAUCUUCAUCAUUCUAAUGCUUACAAUUUAAGGUGAUGCAUCAUCUAACCCCUCAAAAAUAUUUUGUAGAUGGGAUUAGCUUGGCUUCUGCUGUCUUCACUUCAUAAGUACAGCUUGAUGUUUUCAAUGCUAUUGGAUGCAUUAAUUUACUAGUGAUCACUCCUGAGUAAGUUGUCCUUCAUGAUUAAAGUAAACAAAUUAAAACGUAACUUGUGGUUGUAUUAAAUCAUGAAAAAAAAAACUAACAUUCUGGACACUAUUCUGUCCAGAAUGUAAGUUAAAACAUGCUGUCAAGAUUACAUACCAUUUCCAUGGACACUAUUCUGGCUGAGAUUCACAGAACCAGUAGUAGCAGUAGAUCCCAAUGACUCUCCUUUAUCCUAUAUGUAGACAAUUAAAUAAUGGAUUAGUAUAACACAAUUUAUAAUAAAAGCAAUAUACACCAAAAUUACAAACAAUGAAUAAAUAUGACCUGAUGGACUUUCUUUUUCGGAAAUUUCUUAGUUUUUCCCCCUCUCUCAGUAACUUUGCAGCUUCUGACGUUGUGGCCCUACUGAUCGCAUUUAGAACACCUUACGCUUGAGCUCCUCUUAAAUGCCUUAUUUUCACCAGCCUCCUUUCCUCUUGGUUUGAGGCCUACCAGCAGCCCUUUAUGACAAGUGGUGGUAACAGAUUAUCAUGCAAAAGUAAAGGCCAUCUGCUUUCAUCAGGCACUGAAUGCAGCUGGUGAGAAUAAGUUUUCUUGAAUGCAGUUUUCCUUAAUAAAUUAUGGAUGUAAUCAUUCACGUUAUAUCUCAUUGCAUCAAUGCAACACAUGGCAUGCUUGCAAGGUAAGCCUGAUACAUCCCACUCCCCACAAUCACAAUGCUUCGUGCCUAAAUCAACAACACACCUCUUAGAAAUAUCUUCCAUUACUUCAAAGGUUUUGUCAUGACCAAAUAUAACUGACAAUGUUCUAGAUUCAACCCUUGCUUCUAUAACCUUCCUCCAAACAAAUGGAGGCAGCUCAUCUUGCCAAGUGUUGGCCUGCUCAUAUCUUUUGUGUAUCAAUAUCAUAAUCUUCCUUCUAAUCUCCUCAAGCAUUCUUACAAUGGGCAUGCCUCUGAAGUUACUGAUCCAAUUAUUAAAAGAUUCAGUCAUAUUGUUUGUGACAUGCGAACACUUGAUUUGUAUAGGGAAGCAAUGCUUAGCCCAACAAACCACUGGAAUUUGCAACAACCAUUUGUGAGCAGCAAGGUAGAUACUAUAAAUUUCAGCCAUAUGGUUAUUGAAAUAAACUUGAUUUGCACUUCUGCAUGCAGCCCAAAAUUCUUUUUUCAGCAACAUACCAGGAAACUUUUGCUUGAAGUUUGAAUAAAUAUGCCUACAACAGUACCUUUUUAAAGCAUGAGGAAAAACCCUCUCAAGAGCAUUCAAUAUCCCCUUUUGUCUGUCACUCAUAAAGCAAAGACCCUCACCACCAUUACAGCCUAUUUGCUCAUAUAGUUUCUCCAUAAAGUAAGUCCAAGACUCAGUGUUUUCAUUGUCUACUACACACAUGGCUAACGGAUAUAUGCCAUAGUUGGCAUCUACACUAACAACAGACAAUAUGACCCCUUUAUACAGACCCUUAAGGUGACAACCAUCUACACCUAUAAAUUGCCUACAACCUUCAAAGAAUCCCCUCCUAUUAGCAUCAAAAAACACAAAAAAAAAAUUUAAAAUGAGGAUUCACCCCACCACCUAACCAAUCUUUUUCUAACGAGACUGUUGAACCGGGAUUAGAGGAUAAGAUAACAUUCAUAUACCUGAAUAGCUUUGUGAAGCUAGCCUUGUGAUCUUGACCGAGCAUUUUCUUACUAUUAUUAUUACUAAUACUAUUUUAUUUAUAAUUGACAUUUUCUUUAGUUAGAUUAAUUUAUAUUAUUAUUACUAUUAUUAUUACUACUAUUAUUUUAUUUUAAAUCUUGCUUUAGAGUUGAUAAUAAAUAUAACUAGCAUAGUCUAUGUGGGAUCGAUCCUUACUCGCUUUGUACUAAUUAUUUAUAUUAGUGCUAAGGUUUUAAAUUUGAUGUACCUUAACGACACUACCAAAUUUUUGGCGCCGUUGCCAGGGGACUAGCAUUUAGUUUGUUUAUUAUCACUUGUUUUAUUUUAUUAUUUUUACUUAUUUUUUUCUUUCCCUCUCAUUUUAUUUAUUUAUUUUGUUUUAAUUAGUUAUUUUUUGUUCUAUAUUUAGAUUUUCAUGAGCAUACAGGACAUUUGAUUGAAACUCGAACAACUUAGAGCAACCUCAUCAUAUUCAGAACUCGAUUUCGCCAUCCACAUUCCACUCUUGAAGACAGAGCCAGGCAGCCCAGAACCCGAACCAAUGGCUCAGAACAACAAUCGAACACUUAAAGAGUUGGCAGCUCCUAACUUGGACCAGCAACCCUUAUGCAUUGAGAAUCCAAACCCUCAGGUAAACUUUGAACUCAAAUCUAGGAUGAUUCAUCUUCUUCCUACUUUUCAUGGUCUUGCAAGAGAGGAGCCAAAUAAACACUUGAAGGAGUUCCAUGUGGUUUGCUCCACAAUGAAACCAGCCGGAGUUUCUGAAGAGCAAGUUAAGCUAAUGGCCUUCCCAUUCUCUUUGGUGGAUUCAGCCAAGGAAUGGUUGUACUAUCUUCCCUCUGGUACUGUCACUACAUGGAAUGAGAUGCGUCAGCUAUUUUUGGAGAAAUAUUUCCUAGCAUCAAAAGCUGGCAGUAUUCGAAAAAAAAUUUGUGGAAUCCGACAAUAUAAUGAAGAGUCACUUUAUGACUAUUGGGAACGAUUCAAAAAGCUAUGUGCUAGUUGCCCCUACCAUCAAAUAAGUGAUCAACUCCUUAUUCAAUAUUUUUAUGAGGGUCUACUCCCUAUGGAUAGGAGUAUGAUUGAUGCAGCUAGUGGAGGAGCACUCGUAGAUAAGACACUAGAGGCAGCCCGAAAUCUCAUUGCUAACAUGGCUGCUAAUUCCCAACAGUUCAACACCAGGAACGAUCUACUGCUGCCGCCUAAGCGAGUCAAUGAGGUAAGUACUACUUCGCUCUAACAACAAGUUUCAAAUCUUACUUCUUUGGUGCAACAAUUAGCCCUAGGGCAACAGGUGAGACCAUGUGGCGUCUGUUCCAUGGUCGGGCAUGCGACUGAUAUGUGCCCUACUCUCCAAGAGGGUUCACAUGAGCAAGCCAACGCAGUUGAGGGGUUCCUAGGCCAACCAAGACAAAGGUAUGACCCCUAUUAUAAUUUUUACAAUGAAAGGUGGAAGGAUCACCCUAAUUUUAAGUAUGGGAACCAACAACAAGGCAUUCCUAAUGUGGCACCAUCUCGACCACUGGGCUACCCCCAACAGCGGGUGCAACAGCCUUACCAAGUUCAGCCACCUCCACCUCCUCAAAAUCAAGGUACGUCUUUGGAAGACCUUGUAAAAGCUCUCGCUACUAACUCUAUGCAAUUCCAACAGACUACCCAGACACAGCUCCAAUAUUUAGAGAAUUAAAUUGGCCAAUUGGGCACAUCUAUGAGUUAGAUAGAGGCUAGAACUUCAGGAAAGUUACCUUCUCAACCAGAAAUUAAUCCAAAGGAGAAUGCUAGCGCUAUGUCUCUUAGGAGCGGAAAACAGUUGGAACCAUUAUUAGCUAAGCCAUCAAAAGUGUCCACAACAGCAUCGCACUCUGUGACCAAUCCCUCCCUUGAGGCUAUUCCUUUAACAAGGAAAUAUGAUUCCCACUCUGCAUUGCCAGUCGACCCAUCUAGCCAAGGAAGUAACCCCUCACUUCGAAUUAAGGCUAUCUCAAUUCCUCCACUAUUUCCUAGCAGGUUUAAAUAAUCCAAGAAAUGGGAGCAAGAAAAAAAGAUCCUUGAGACCUUUCGUAAAGUCGAGGUAAAUAUUCCUCUACUUGAUGCUAUUAAACAAGUGCCGUGUUAUGUAAAGUUUUUAAAGGAAUUAUGCAGCAACAAGCGAAAGUUGAGCGGUAACGAAAAGGUAAGUGUAUGAGAGAAUGUUUCUGUUGUACUUCAAAGAAAACUUCUUCCUAAGUGCAAGGAUCCAGGUACUUUUACUAUCCCUUGCACUAUUGGCAAUACCAUAUUCAAAAGAUGUAUGCUAGAUUUAGGGGCCUCAAUUAAUGUUAUGCCAUAUUCGAUUUAUAACUCCUUAAAUUUAGGUCCAAUGGAAGAAACUGGUAUAAUUAUUCAAUUGGCUGAUAGAUCUAAUGCUUACCCGAAGGGGGUUGUGGAAGAUGUUCAUGUGCAGGUCAAUGAAUUGGUCUUUCCAACUGAUUUUUAUAUCCUUGAAAUGGACGAUGAAUCAUCGCCCAAUCCCACUCCUAUUCUGUUGGGGCGACCAUUCCUUAAGACAACCCGAACCAAGAUUGAUGUUCACGAUAGAACCCUCGCAAUGGAAUUCGAUGGUGAAGUGAUCCACUUCAAUAUCUUUGAGGCAAUGAGGUAUCCUAGUGAUGCACAUUCUGUCUUUGCCAUAGAUGAUAUUAAUACUUUGGUGCAGGAUGAUUCUAAGGAACAAGCAAAUUUGAUAAAGUUGGAUGAUGAGGUAGAGGAAGCUAUGGUGAUCUUAAAUGGAGCAGUCACAUUACGUACUAAUGGGUAUAAUGUCUCUUACCUUGAAUUGCCUUUAUUAAAUGAGAAACUUUUACCUUCAAUUGUGCAGGCACCUACCUUAGAACUUAAGCCACUCCCAGAGCACCUGCAAUAUAUUUACUUGGGUGAGAAUAAAACACUUCCAAUCAUAAUUGCUAAAACCUCACUUCGGUUCAACAAGAAAAGCUAAUUAAGGUGCUUCGGGAUCACAAGACGGCGAUUGGCUAGACCAUUGCCAACAUUAAGGGAAUUAGUCCUUCCAUGUGCAUGCAUCGUAUUUUGCUAGAGGAAGGGUCUAAACCAACGAGAGAUGCACAACGCCGCCUUAAUCCACCAAUAAUGAAAGUCGUAAAAAAGGAGAUACUGAAACUCCUUAAUGUGGGGAUUAUUUAUCCCAUUUCUGAUAGUAAAUGGGUGAGUCCUGUGCAGGUAAUUCCAAAAAAAUCAGGCAUCACAGUGGUCAAGAAUGAAGAAAACAAGCUUGUGCCAACUAGAGUUCAAACUGGGUGGAGAGUUUGCAUUGACUAUCGUAAACUGAAUGCAGCCUCUCGCAAGGAUCAUUUUCCUCUGCCAUUCAUUGAUCAAAUGCUUGAAAGGUUAAGGGGUCACUCUCAUUAUUGUUUUCUUGAUGGUUACUUAGGUUAUAAUCAGAUCGUUAUCACUCCGGAAGACCAAGAGAAAACGACCUUCACUUGCCCCUUCGGAACAUUUGCUUAUCGACGCAUGUCGUUUGGUCUCUGUAACGCUCCUGCCACUUUCCAAAGGUGUAUGAUGAGUAUUUUUUCUUAUUAUGUGGAGAACAUCAUUGAGGUAUUUAUGAAUGAUUUUACAGUUUAUGGUGAUUCUUUCGAUAAAUGUUUAGAUAACCUUACACUUGUUCUUAAACGAUGCAUUGACACUAACCUUGUGCUUAAUUGGGAAAAAUGUCAUUUUAUAGUUAAUUAAGGUAUUGUAUUAGGCCAUGUUAUUUCUGAAAGGGGGAUUGAAGUUGAUAAAUCUAAGAUAAAUCUUAUUCGUUCCUUACCACCUCCCACUAGUGUGAGGGAGGUUCGUUCUUUUCUUGGUUAUGUAGGUUUCUAUCGCAGGUUUAUCAAAGUCUUCUCCAAGAUAGCAUUACCCCUCUGCAACUUACUUCAAAAGGAUGCAACGUUUGACUUCAAUGAAGAGUGCCAAAGAGCUUUUAAGAAGUUAAAAGAGGUUUUGACAUUGGCCCCUGUGAUUCAACCACCGAACUGGGAUUUACCAUUUGAGAUUAUGUGCGAUGCCAGUGACUAUGCUGUUGGAGCCGUGUUGGGCCAGCGUGUGGGCAAGUUUCCUCAUGUCAUUUAUUAUGCCUCUCGUACAUUGAAUGAUGCACAACUUAACUACUCCACUACCGAGAAAGAACUUUUAGCAGUUAUCUUUGCCUUAGAGAAAUUUUGUUCUUAUUUAAUUGGAUCUAAGGUAAUCUUUUACUCUGACCAUGCAGUUAUUAGGUACUUGCUCACCAAAAAGGAUGCCAAGCCGCGCCUUAUUCGAUGGAUACUUCUAUUGCAAGAAUUUGACUUAGAGAUUCUACAUAAGAGAGGUUUUGAGAAUUUGGUGGCAGAUCAUUUAAGUCGACUUACCUAUAACGAAGAUGCACUUCCAUUGCAUGAGAACUUUCCAGAUGAGCAGUUAUUACAUGUAGGUAUAGUUACUCCUUGGUAUGCAGAUAUUGUCAAUUACUUGGUUACCAUGACAAUACCGAAAAAGAUAACCCGUGCAUAAAAGGCCAAGAUCAAGAGUGAUGCCAAGUACUAUGUGUGGGAUGAGCCAUACUUGUGGAAGCAUUGUUCUGAUCAAGUUAUUAGAAGGUGCGUACCCGAAACUGAAUUUACUUAUAUUCUCACAUUUUGUCAUACUUUGGCUUGUGGAGGACAUUUUGGACCAAAGAGAACAGCCCUUAAGGUACUUGUGAGCGGUUUUUAUUGGCUAUCACUAUUUAAGGACGCAUAUUUGUUUUGCAAAUCUUGUGAUCGUUGCAGAGAACAGGUAAUUUGGGACCUAAAAAUCAAAUGCCGCAAUCUCCCAUUCUUAUAGUUGAGAUUUUUUAUGUUUGGGGCAUCGAUUUCAUGAGACAAUUUCCUCCAUCGUUUGGUAAUCUCUAUAUUGUUCUUGCGGUUAUGUUUCAAAAUGGGUGGAAGCAAAAGCCACCCGAACUAACGAUUCUAAGGUUGUGGUAGAUUUUAUAAAGAGUAACAUCUUUACAAGGUUUGGAACACCAAAGACAAUUAUCAGCGACAGAGACACUCACUUUUGUAACAGGUCAGUAGAAGCCCUCUUUCAAAAAUACAACAUCACUCACAAGGUGUCUACAUCUUAUCAUCCCCAAACUAGUGGGCAAGCUGAGGUGUCUAAUAGGGAAGUGAAAUCAAUCCUUGAAAAGACAGUUAAUCCGAAUAGAAAGGACUGGAGCCUAUGGGUUGAUGAUGCACUUUGGGCAUAUAGGGCUUUAUACAAAGCGCCUAUUGGUAUGUCACCCUACAGGUUAGUAUAUGGUAAGUCUUGUCAUCUUCCAAUGGAACUUGAACAUAAAGCUUAGUGGGCUAUGAAACAAUGUAACAUGAAAUUGGACGGCACCGGCCAGCACAGAAAGUUCCAAUUCCAAGAAUUAGAGGAAAUUCGAAAUGACGCCUAUGAGAAUUCAUGAAUCUAUAAGGAAAAUACUAAGGCUUUUCAUGAUAAGCAGAUCUUGAGAAAGAGUUUUGAAGUUGGACAUAAAGUUUUGUUAUUCCAUUCUCGCCUUAAGUUAUUUCCAGGUAAAUUACGUUCUCGAUGGGUUGGGCUUUUUGUUGUUACUAAUAUUUUUCCUCAUGGUGCAGUUGAGAUCAGGAGCUUAAAGACAGGUAAAGAGUUGAAAGCUAAUGGUCAUAGGUUGAAGCCUUACUAUGAAAACUUUCAGACACUCAAUGUAGAGGAGGCUCCACCUUAUGAAUCUGCGUACAUUGAUGAGUGAAACUUGAGAAUUAUAUCAGGCUGAGGACAAUAAACCAAGCGCUUAUUGGGAGGCAACCCAAUGGCUGGAGAAAAGAUUUUGAGAGCACGCCAUAAUAGAUUUGAUCUUUCUCCCUUUCAUUCUCAUUUACUUUAUCCACUCUGUUGAAUUUUGUUUGUUUCUGUUUGUGUGUCUCAUCUCAUUUCCCCAUGUUUAAUUAUUUAUUUUGUUAACUUAGGCUUACAUUGAGGACAAUGUAAGAAUUAAGUGUGGGGGGGGGGAUUUCGAACUUAGUUUUUAUUGCUUUGUCUUUUUCUUUUUAUAAAAAAAAAAACAACAACAACAACAACAUUGUUGUGAAUAUUAGCCAGUGAUAAGAAUUUGAUUGACAAUUAAUAUGGUUCUUAGAAAAUGUUGAAUAUUAACUUAGUUUAUACUUGAUUCUUGUGUUGAUUUUUUCUUAAUUAAGAUUCUUUAAACCAUGAACACUAAUAUCAAUUCUUUCAUAAUUUUGACUUAGAAUUUGAGAUUGACGCAACCUGAGUUGAGAAUUUUAAAUUGAGUAAAUGAUUGUUUGUCUUGAUUCUUAUCUCCACAAUACAGUGUAGUAUACAUAGGCACCAUAGUCAGAAAUAGCUACUUAUAACCCUUAAGAGUGAAACUAUCCUUGAGUAAUUUGGGCCUAUGUGCCACCAGUAUGUAGAUGAUAAUCUACCAUGAGAAGAAGGCUACCUUAAGGGGUAGAGUGAAAGCUCCUGACUAUAAAAAAAAAAAAGAGAAAAAAAUCAAAAGAAAAUGCACACAAAUGCCUGUAAAAGAAAAAAAAAUUGGAGAUCAAGAUGAUAAGAUUAGUUUGACCUACUCUUUUCUUUGUUCGAGGCAAAGGCUGUUGAUAUUGAAGAUUUUGGGAAUGGAUUUUAAUUGAAUUGAUUCACACACACACUAUGAGAAUCAAAAGAGAGAUGUGAUUGACUAUUGAAUUAAAGUUAGAACUUCGAUAAUAUUUGAAAUCUUCUUUGAGCUAUAUGACUUAUACAAUCUUUGAGGCUAGUUUUAUUUUAAAUUCCUUUGUUCUUUUUCUGCUAUAAAAAAAAAGAAAAAAAGAAAAUACAAUGAUGUUUGUGGGUAUUAUCGCUGAAGCCCUUACGAGACUAUAACUCGUCCACUAGGGCCGCCUAGGGGUUUAAAGGUUUGUUGCACACGCUAAAUGCAAUCAUGAUUUCCUACGAAAGUGGACUAGUUUAGGUUUUCUUUUUAUUUUAUUUUUGUUCUAGGUUUGCUCGAGGACGAGCAAAGGGUAAGUGUGGGGGAAUUUGAUAAGUGCAUAUUUUCCAUAUAUUUUGCUAUUAAUUUCUCCAUCGUUUUUUUGUUUUGGUCUUAAAUAUUCUAGUUAUUUUAGUUAAUUUUUAAUUUAGUAAAUUAUAUUUUAUUGUGUUAAUUUUUAUCUUAGUUUUAUUUAUUUUGUUAUUUUAGAUAUAUUCUGGAAUUAAAGAGAAAUUAAAUCAGAGCAUUCAGGAAAAAAAUUUGAUUGAAGAUUGAGAGACAAAAAUGUACAAGAGAUCAAGAAUUGGAAGGAAUUAGAAAAUAAAGAAUAUUCUCCCAUUAAAGCUUGUAUGGGCCAAGCAAAAUUAAUGUUGCACAUGGAGCUAAAUUUGGAAAAUGGAAGUCAAAAAGGAAGCCAAGCCAAUUAACAAGCCAAGCCAUCACAUGAAAGCAAAAUUGGAAAACAAAGAUUGCAAACCAAAAGUGGCCAGCACGUGAAAGGAAGGAGAGUAAAGCCUUUUGGCUUUAGGAAAUCAUGGUCAAAUCAUUAUUGACUUAUUAAUUGAAGCAUAAAAGUGGUGGUUUUGGGCUUUGGAUUUAAUUCUUUCCAUGCAAGGAUUUAAAAAAAGCCACAAUUGAAGCAUUAUAAAAAGGAUCCAGCGGAAGCAACACAAGAGGAGAAUCGGCAACCAAGAGGGGAAUCGACACCAAGAGAAACUGAACAAUUUGCAGCCGCAAAGGAGAAGAAAAAAUCAGCAGCCAGAAUUAAAUUGAAGCAAAGGUAGCCGCUUGAAUUAAUCUCUAUGAUUGGUUUUGUCAAUUCUUUUAUUCUCAAUUCAAUUAUGUUAGGCUAGAUUUUUAUUUGGUUGAGGGUAAAUUCAAAACCCCGAACAUGUCACAUGAUUAAUUUUUAAUUUUUAUCAUUUAAUUUAUUUAAUUGAGAUUGUUUAUGUUCUUCUAUAAUUAAUGUUCAUGGUUUAUUCUUGUUUUACUUAAGUAGCCAAUUAGAUAGGACUUGAAUAAAUUCUAUUGCUAGAUUAAAAUUAUUGAUCCGUAAUUGUCUUGAUAUUUUAAUCAUUAGUGGCAGGUUGGAAUCAGUGAUUUCGAUUGGAGAACAUAACCUAGGUUAAAUAAUCCGAACUUGUGUGUUUAUUGCCUAGAUCAACCUAAUAUCUUUCUCUGUUUAAUGCUUCUAUUAUCUUAAAUUUAAAGAGCUUGUUUUAAAUUAUUUAAUGGUUAGAGAUUAGGUGAAGAGCUUGUUUUGCCUAACGACACACUAAGAAAAAAUUGAGACUAACAGAGCUUAUUGUUAUCUACGGUUGAUAGUUUCAAUAUAAAUUUAUGAUAGAAUUGAUAUAUUAUGUGCAUGUUUGGUGGUGGCGAAUGAUCCUUUAACCAAAGUUUUAAUCAUUAUUAUUUCUUUUUCUUUUAAUUAGAGUUUAUUUUAAAUUAUUGUUCGUAGUUUUAAUUUCUUUAUUUCUUACUAUUUAAUUAAAAAUUCAUAAACCCCCCUUUUAUUUAUAAUUGGCAUUUUCUUUAGUUAGAUUAAUUUAUAUUAUUAUUACUAUUAUUAUUACUACUAUUAUUUUAUUUUAAAUCUUGCUUUAGAGUUGAUAAUAAAUAUAACUAGCAUAGUCUCUGUGGGAUCUAUCCUUACUCGCUCUGUACUAAUUAUUUAUAUUAGUGGUAAGGUUUUAAUUUGGUGCACCUUAACGACACUACCAAUGGUUUUUUUUGGUUAUUUUUUACUUUUUACACUUUCAUGAGGUAUAUGUAUGUAAUAGGGUACAAAUUUGGUAUUUAAGGACAAAUGGGGUAUAUUUAAAUAAAAAACCCAUGAGGAGAGGUGGCCAGGGGGGAAAUGAGAGUUUUUUAAGUAAUUGUUAUUCUUUAUUAAUCUAACAACAGUUUCUUAUACAAAGCCAAAGAAAUCCGACUAAAAUAAUAAUUCCUGGUAACAUAAUAACUAACUUAGUAACUAAUCCUUAAUAGAAAAGGAAAUAAUGUAGAAUUGAGACCAAGAAGGGCAUCUCCAAUGCUUAACACUAUUAUGGUGUAAUACUAAUAUAAAAAAUAUAUUUUUUUCACACUAAAUUAUUAUUUCAUCUAUAACACAUUUACACCAAAUUUUACACAAAAAAAAAUCUUCUUUUUAUUCUCAAGAAUUAAUCCAAUUAACACAAUAAAUAUUACUAUUAAUAUAGAUAAUUAAGUAAUGAGUAAUUUUAUAUCGAUUAACAAAAAAAAUAUAUAGAAAAUUAUUAAAUUUUCAUUUAAUUAACUAAAUUAGUACAUUAUGAAAAUUAAACAUUACAUUAAUAUAGAAAAAUACAAUAACAAUAAUACUACUCUAGUUAUUCGAAUUACUAAAUUCAUCCCAUAAAUGAUCAAUUAAUACAUUUCGGAGUGCAAUGUGAGCCUCUUUAUCCUUGAUUUGUUUGUGUCGAACAAGAAAUUCUUAAAAUCUAGUAUUCUCAUCUACCCUCAUAUCAACGAUUGGUAUUGGCGCUUGCAUCCAAUCAUUAAUUGUUGCAUUAACAUCACAUUCAUCUUCGAUGAUCAUAUUGUGCAUAAUAAUGCAAGCAGUUAUUGUUCAAAAAACAUGAUGGUCCAGCAACAAUUGCAAAACAUGAUUGAAGGACUCUGAAAUAUAAGUGUGCAACCCAAGAGGGAGGUGAAUUAGAAUUUUAAAAAUUAUCCUAGCAAAUCCACACAAUAAGCAAUCUAAUGUUUUAAUAAAAAUUGAAAGCAAUAAGUUUAAUAAAAGUACAAUAACUAAUGAGUAAGGGAGAAGAGAAACAAACACUCGAAUUUUUACGUAGUUCGGCAAACCCCGCAUACGUCUACGCCUCCAAGCGAUCCAAGCUUGAGGAUUUCACUAUCCAAGCCUUUCCAAGGCUUCAACCAUUUACAAUUGACUUCAAGGUGUCAAUGAACCUUUACAACAAAGAGAUUAUCUCCCAAUCUCUUCACUCAAGUGUCUCACACACUCAAACUCUUACAAUUGAGAUGAAGAAAUGAAAGUUACAAUGAAACUCACUCAAUGAGUAGAUAUUCAAAAAUGAAGAACAAGAAAUGAUUCAAUGUUUUGUGUUUUGUAAGUUGAAGGCUCAAGAUAUCUCGUGUGCUUUUUGUUUAUGCUUGUUGGAGAGAUUGAAAAUGAGUUGGAUUUGAGUUCUUAUAGUUUGAGCUCAAAAAGUAGCCGUUAUGCACAUUUUGGUCAUAACCGGUUUGCCGUUUAUGGACAUCCAGUUAGCCGCUUAAUGUUACCGUUACAGCCACAAUUUUGAAUUUCUGAACAUUUGGUAUACCGCUUUGUGAAAUCCGGAUAGCCGUUUAUGCUCCAGAAGCUUACUGCCCAACAACCGGAUUACCGUUUGUCAGGAUCCGGUUAGCCGCUUUCAAUUUGAAUAGAUUCUGCCCAAAAUUCGGCUUGCCAGUUUUUCACAUCCGGUUAGCCGCUUGCUACAGUGACUGCUACAGUGAAAUAUUUUCUAAAAUUACAGUUUGAUCCUAAAACUUUAUAAAACUGUAUUAUGACCCAAAAUGUUAUGAAAAUUUACAAAUAGGUCCAAUUUCAGAAUUUUAAAUAAUGCUUUGUCAAUCCCAAAACUUUCUAAAAUUAUGAUUUCACCCAAACCAUGUGAAAUUAUAGAAUGACCUAAAAAUAUUUAAAUAGUUUCAAAUAGGUCCAAAUUUGAAAUUUAAAAUACUAUUAAAGAUUUUAAAAUACUUUCAUUUUAGUCCAAAAUACUUUAAUUCCAUAACAUCAUUUUCUUAUUAUAAAAGCGCAAUUCAUAAAUCUUUGCUUAAUCAAUACAUGUGGCUUGUUAUCAUCAAAAUCAAUAUUUAUAGCCAUAUAGGCUAACAGACUCCAAAUGCACGUUCUACAUCUUUCCGACAUGCUUCUUGUUUCAUAGCAAAUAAUUUCUUUUUAGGACCACGUGGAUCAUGGAUAGUUUGUACAAGAGUAGACCAUUUUGGGUAGAUACCAUCAGCUAAAUAAUAACCCAUAUUAUAUUUGUUCCGUUUAAUGACAUAAAUCGAGCGAAUGUGUUACUGGCACAAGAUAAGAAAUACAAUAAAGGGUUCAAAUUUGAUUAUGUAUGGCCUAUCCUCAAAGAUAUUAAAAAAUUUGGUGAUGAUAAUAGCAUUGCAACACCAUACUUUCAAAGGCAAAGUAGCGAAUUUGUGCCAUCACAAUCAAAUUCUCCCGUUCCGAAGUCUCCAACAUCAACAUCUUCUAGUCUAUCAUCAUUUUCACUAAAUAUAAAUGACGAGCAUGUUAACGAUUGUUCUACUCAACGACCCAUUGGAGUAAAGAAGGCAAAAGGAAAAAGGAAAGUUGAAGAUCAAAAUUCACUAGUUAUUAAUACUAUUAAAGAAGACAAUCGGCAACUUUAUGAAAUUCUUCAAAAGGCAGUGACGAUAGGCAACAAAAUUAUCAAAUUCAAAUGAUACGAGCCCAAAAUGGGAAAACAAAAUUGGAGAUGGUCACAUAUCGUGAAGAAAACAAAAUUUUACUUAAAGAUUUAAAUUCGAUAAGUGAUCCGAGCUUGCGUUAAUAUUUUAAAAAUGAACAAAUUCAGAUUUUGUAGAGAAGAUCUCAGCAAGGCCAAGCAUCUCAAAAUACUUCCAAUAAUAUUGACCAAUAUUUUGAUGAUAUUGGAGGAUCUAAUAAUGAUAUCCCAAAAUAUUAAAUAAUUGUUCUAAUUUAUGCUGCUAGUAGUAGUUUUUUUAAUUUUUGUUAAUUGAACUUUGUAUUUUUAAUUUUGUAAUAUGUAAUCUAGUAAUUAAUGUUAUUGACAUUUUAUUUAUAUUAUUAAUUUUCGUGUUGAAUUUUUUUUAUUUAACAUAUUAGUAUAAUAUUCUAAAAUUAAAAAAUAAAAUAAAAAUAAUAACAAAAAUAAUAAUAAUAACUUAAAAUAUUAUAUAAAAUAAGACAUAUAUGUAAAUAAAAAAAAAUAAAGAUAUUUGAGAUUUUUUAUUCCUAUCACUAAAUGAAUAGUGUUGCACCAUAUUUGGUGCAAUACUAUUCAUAACACCAUUUUAAUGUUUGUUUUGAUAUUACAUUAGAAAAGUAUUUUACACCAAAAAUGGUGUAAAAAUUAAUUUGGUAUUAAUUUUGCUGUCGCAUUGAAAAUGGCCUAACACCAUCAAAAUUCUAUUCGUAUUCAUCGUAACUAAAAAGGAAAAAAAAAGUUAGGUCAUUAUUGAAAAAUAUUAAGUGUGGUGGAAAUUAACCUAAAAUCUUGACUUUUAAUUAGUUAAUUGAUCUUUAAGAAAAUAUACAGAUACGUUUUACACUUUCGGCUAUUAAAAUUAAGGAAAAUUAUCACUGCAUCACCUCUUUUUUGUCUUAUGUUCAUCCAACCACUAAAAAAUUGUAACAUGUUCUCUGUACCACCUUUUUCUUUUUUAAAUUUGUAUCAGCUAGCCACUUUUUAACUAACACCAUUAAAUAAUUUAAAUGAAAUGAUAAUUUUACCCCUAAAUAAAUUAAAAGACCAUUUUAUUUUACAAAAAGUUUGAAAUAGGAAAAUUAUGAUUAUAAAAAUACCUCUAAAUUUAAUAAAAAAAUAAAUCCCAAAAUUAGAAUUUUUAACUGUUGUUCUUUCUGGUGAAAGUUCAUCUUCUCAGAUUGUUCUUCCCAGCCAACACCUUCAAAUAAAACUUCCGAUUGGUAUGAUAAAACCCAUUUUCAAAAUGUUUUAACUCAAACAGAUUUUCUGAUAAAGAGUCGUGCUCAAGUAUUCCUUCCUUAGAAAGGAAAUUUACAAAAAUACCUUCAGUUAUAAAUCUUCCUUAUCAGCUCGUAAGGAGUCAACCGAGGUUUUCCACCUCAGAUAUUCCAAGUUCAUCUAUUCGUUCUGUUGACUAUACCACAAAUGUUCCUCAUCCAAUUUAUACUAGUAGUCAACAUGAACAAAAACAAGAAGAGAAGGAACUUUCUCCUCCAACUUCCCCUACUUUUUCUGCUAUCACAGAAAAUGUCAUAAAUGUUAUUGAAAAGAAUUUUGAGCUUGAUAAAAAUCUUCUUCAUAAUGAUUUUUACUCUGACUUUAAUAAAGAAAAAAGACUUUGGUUUUUUAAGAAUUUUUUAAAUCAAAGGAAAGAAAUCCAACAAAUCUAUUAUGAAUUUGUUAAUCUUCAUCAAGUUCAUAUAUUGUUUUUUGAUUGGUUCGAAAUAUAUUCUUCUGAGAACAACAUUGAAUAUCUUUUUAAAGAGUCAAACCCUAUUACUAUUAGGAAGAAAAUUCCCGAAUGGAAACUUCUUGAUAGCAAUAGAAUCAUAAAGUCUGAACACCCACCUCUUCGAAGUGUAACCAUUGAUCAUGGAGAACCUCCUGUCCAAAUCAGAGCUUCACCUUACAAAAUUCCAAAGCCAAAUGAUUCUGAAGCCAAUUUAAGUAGUAUUAUCCAACAGAAUAAUUUCUGUAAUACCAAAUUAAAUACAAUCGGAAAGCAGUUGACUAGGAUAGAAAACCAAUUCCAAAAGUCAACCAUUACUGUUUCUUUGAUUCCACCAAAAUCGGAUUCUGACAAAAAGCUUAAGGAACCUAUUUUCAAACCUUUUCAGGUUUCGAAAACUAGCCAAAAGCUUGUUCAAUAGUCAAAAUCAGAUUUUGCUAAAGCCAUUAGAGAACAACUAGAUAGGAUAGAAGUUGCUUCUUCCUCAUCUAGCAAAGUUCAGAUAGCCCCUGAUACUCCUCAAUCUAGCAAGAUUGGAGUAUUAGAACAAGACCAAAUGUCUAUAGCCUCUUUUGAUAUAGAAGCCUUCAAAGAAGAACCUUCUACUCCUAAAGCCAACAAAAUUCAUUGGGAAUUAGCCCUUCCCACUGUCAAGACUCCACCAGAUCUAGCAAUAGAUAAUAGACCAAGUGCAUUAAAUCAAUCCCGAUACAAUGCAUCUUCAGUCUAUGAGUGGAAUAUUGACGGUAUGUCCGAAUACAAUAUCCUAGGAUUGUUGCAACAAAUGACAAUGGCAGCCAAUGCCUAUAAAACCCAAGCAGGAACUUCUGAUCGUGCCAUAUCAGAAAUCCUCAUUGCCGGUUUUACUGGUCAACUAAAAGGUUGGUGGGAUCAUCUUCUCACUAAUCAGCAACAAUUAGACAUUUUAAAUUCCAUUCAAGUCGAUGAAAAUGGAGCCCCUAUUCUUGAUGAGUUCAACAAUCCAAUCCAAGAUGCUGUUGCUACUCUAAUUUUAACUAUUUCCCUCCAUUUCAUUGGUGACCCUUCACACCUUCGAGAUAAAAACGCUGAGUUACUACAUAAUUUAAGAUGUAGGAAACUUAGUGAAUUUCAAAGUUACAAAACCUCAUUUUUUAGCAGACUAUUUCUAAGAGAUGAUGCAAAUCAUAUAACUUGGAAAGAAAAAUUUCUUGCUGGAUUACCUACCCUUUUAGGUGAAAAGGUAAGAAAUUCCAUCAAAACCCUUUAUGAUAACCGUAUUCCUUAUGAUGAGCUCACCUACGGUGAACUUGUCAGUUUUGUCAAUAAAGAAGGUUUAAAGAUUUGUCAAGAUUUGAAAUUACAGAAACGACUUAAGUGGGAGCUUAAGAAGUCUAAACAAGAAUUAGGCGGUUUCUGUAAACAAUUCAAUUAUGACCCUUUUAAAACUUCUAUCUCCAAAGAUUGUAAUGGUGAGUGCUCUACUAAACCUCGUAGGAAACAUUACAAAUCUAAAAAUUUUAGGAAACCCUUUCGUAAUUUUAGAGAACUUCCUUAUAAGAAACCUUCGAGGCCUUAUAAGAAACCCAAAUUCUCUAAAAAAGAGUUUAAAGCCAAACCUAACACUCCUUUCAAUUACAGAGAAGCUAUAUGUCACAAGUGUGGCAUAAAAGGUCAUACUGCAAAAUAUUGCAGAAUGAACUAAAAACUUCAUGAGCUUGACCUUGAUGAUGAGAUCCUUUCUAAAUUAGCCCCUCUUUUUAUCGAGUCUUCUGAUUCCGAGUCUUCUAUGUCAGGAGACAGUGAUCCAUAUCAAGUUGACGAGCUAUUUGACUCAGAUGACUCUGCAUCUAGCAAUAGUGAAUCUGAAUCUGAUUCAUUUUUAAAGAAAAUCAAUGUUUUGACUAAAGACCAAGAAACUUUUCUUGAACUUGUAAAGCAUAUUUCUGAUCCGAAUCUUCAAAAAGAAUAUCUUGAUAAACUUUUAAAAACUUUGGAUUUUAAUAAAGCCGAAACUUCUAAAGUCCCAAUUGUUAAAAAAAAUUCUUAUGAUCUUACUCAUAUUUUGGAUAAAAAGAAAACAAAGAAGUCAACACCCACAAUUCAAGAUAUUCAAAAAGAAAUCAAAGACAUUAAACUUGAAAUAAAAGAUUUAAAAGAAAAACAAAAAAGUGAUUCUGAAACUAUCCAACUCCUUUUACAAAAGCAUUUACAGGAUAGCUCAGAUAAUGAGUCAAAUCCUAAUGAUGGUGAUAAUAUUGACCAGAAUUUAGAAAACAUUGAGUUUGUACCAAAUAAUUUUCUAUUUGCUUUAAAACAGAUCACCAUGAGAAAGUAUUUGAUUAAAAUUACUUUGAUUUUUUCCGAUGAUUUUGCAAUUGACGCCAUUGCCCUUUUUGACACUGGUGCCGAUUUAAAUUGCAUAAGAGAGGACAUUGUCCCCAAAAGAUUUCAUGAGAAAAUAAAAGAAAGACUUUCUGCCGCCAACAAUUCAAAGCUUAAUGUAAAUUCUAAAGUCGAAGCUUCAAUUCAUAACAAUGGUUUUGAAUUUAAAACUUCUUUUGUUCUUACAAAUGACAUACAUCAUGCUGUCAUUUUAGGAACCCCUUUUAUAAAUCUUAUCACUCCUUAUACUGUCAAUUAUGAUAGUAUAUCUUUUAAAGCAAAAGACAAAAGGUUUGUUUUCCCGUUUAUUGAAAAGCCAAAAACAAGAUAUUUGAAUAUUGUUAAAGCAUGUUCUGUCUAUCAGAAUCAAAUCAACAAUCUUCUCCGAUCCAGACAAAGUGAUUUAAUGUUUUUACCAAAGGAUUUAAGUUUAAAAAGAAUAGAAAGCCAAUUACAAAAUGAUUUCAUCCAAAAGAAAAUCUCUGAUUGUAAAGAUCUAAUUGAAAAAGAAAUUUGUGCCGAUCUACCUUCAGCCUUUUGGAAUAGGAAACAACAUUUGGUAGAUUUGCCUUACGAGAAUUCUUUUGAUGAAAAACAGAUACCUACUAAAGCUCGUCCAAUCCAAAUGAAUAUGGAUUUGGAACAACAUUGUAGAACUGAAAUAAAAGCCUUGGAGUCUAAAGGACUCAUUGUAAAAUCUAAAUACCCAUGGUCUUGUGCCGCUUUUUAUGUAAACAAAAAUUCUGAAAUUGAAAGAGGAAUACCAAGAUUAGUCAUAAAUUAUAAACCCCUUAAUAAAGCAUUAAAAUGGAUUAGGUACCUAAUACCUAACAAAAAAGAUUUGCUUCAAAAACUGCAUUUUGCUUUCAUAUUUUUCAAAUUUGACAUGAAAUCGGGUUUUUGGCAAAUUCAAAUUCAUCCAAAAGAUCGUUAUAAAACCGCUUUUAUUGUUCCUUUUAGACAGUAUGAGUGGACUGUUAUGCCAUUUGGGUUGAAAAAUGUGCCUUCAGAAUUUCAAAGAAUUAUGAAUGACAUUUAUAACCCUUAUUCUGAUUUUUGCAUUGUUUAUAUCGAUGAUGUUUUGAUUUUUUCUCAAACCAUCGACCAACAUUUUAAACAUCUAAAGACCUUUUACCUUGCUACCAGAAAAGCUGGUUUAGCAAUCUCUAAGUCUAAAGUCUCUUUGUUUCAUACAAAGAUCAGGUUCCUAGGUCACCAUAUUUCCAAAGGAACCAUUACCCCUAUUGAGCGUUCUCUUGCUUUUACAGACAAGUUUCCUGAUAAAAUCCUUGAUAAAACUCAAUUACAAAGAUUUCUAGGAAGUCUAAAUUAUGUUCUUGAUUUCUGUCCAAAUAUCAAUAGGAUGUCCAAACCUUUGCAUGAUAGGUUAAAAAAGAAUCCUGUUGCCUGGACCGAUGAGCAUACUAAAGUAGUUAGACUUAUAAAGAAUUCUGUAAAAAGCAUCCCAUGUUUAUUUCUUGCAAAUCCCGCAUUACCUAAAAUUAUUGAAACUGAUGCAUCUGAUUUAGAUUAUGGAGGAAUAUUAAAGCAAAAAGAUAAUGAUAAGGAACAGAUAGUUCAGUAUGUUUCUGCACAUUUGAAUGAAUGCCAAAAGAAUUAUUCAACCAUCAAAAAAGAAAUUCUUUCAAUUGUUUUAUGCAUUUUAAAAUUCCAACAUGAUUUAUUAAGUAAAAAAUUUCUACUUAGAAUCGAUUGCAAAGCUGCAAAACACGUUUUAGAAAAAGAUGUUCAAAACAUUACAUCAAAAUAAAUUUUUGCACGAUGGCAAGCCAUUUUAAGUGUUUUUUAUUUUGAUAUUGAGUUCAUUAAAGGAGAUACAAAUUUUAUUCCUGAUUUUCUAACUAGAGAAUUUUUGCAAAGCAGAUAAUACCGCCGAAGAAAAAAGACAAAGAUAAAGCUGUUCUCAAAGAUACCGAACCUACAAAAACCUCCAAAGAACCUCAAUCUACUCCCUCUAAAGAAAAAUUACUUUCUUCAGCCAUACCUAUUAAAUCCUGGAUUGAAUUGGUUGGAGAAAAUCAAGGAACCCAGUACAAAUCCAUCUCCUCUGAACAACAAGUCAAAGAGUGGAUGGAAUCUAUUACAAAGUCCCCUGAGCUUAUGCUUUCCUUACAAGGCAUCUCAAAAUCUAAAGCCCUUUCUCAGAUCCCUGAGGAAGAAAAACCAAUUUCUAAAGAAAUUACAAAGUCUUCUUCCCAAAGCCAAACUGUUGUUCUUUCUGGUGAAAGUUCAUCUUCUCAGAUUGUUCUUUCCCAGCCAACACCUUCAAAUAAAACUUCUGAUUGGUAUGAUAAAACCCAUUUUCAAAAUGUUUUAACUAUGGAAGAUGGAUUUUACCACACUGAUCCUUUCCAAGCAAUCUCAAAGUUUUUUCCUAAAGGCUGAUUUUUCAAACCAUGGGAUUUAACAAAACCCCAGCCUUAUUAUCAAAGCAUUUUAGAAGCCAUUGAGUCUGUAAAAUUUAAACAUUUCUUUCUCAGUGAAACCCAUUCAGAGCCGGCCUACUCCACGGCCACUAUUUUAAAAGUUUUAAGCCCAAACCAGUGGGGUGACCAACUCCACAAAUUCAAAACUUUCCCUCCAAGUUUUCAAAUGCGUUUACCACAUUGCCUGGCCUAUUCCUAUUGGGACUACCAGCAAGCUUGGUUCAACACAUUUUUCUUACAAAACCCAAAAAAGUCCCAUUCAUGGUUAUUUUUCUUCAAUUCAAAAAUAACCGUCCAAAGUCUUCCAAAUUGGUUCCAACAAUGGUGGAAUUUUUUUGGUCCAACACCACAAAUCCUAACUCCAAAUGCCACUCAUUGUUUAAACCUUUUCAAAACCCAUUAUUCCCCUUCGGAUUCAGAGAAACGGUUUUCUCCCUUCCUCUGUUUUUGUACCAAUUUCUUCCUCCCAUGGGUAUGGAUGUGGAAUUUCAGAUUUCAUACUCAUGAAAAACAACUCAUCAUACAAAGAACUUUCAAAGUCAAGUGGUGGUCAAAAUUCGAUGAACAAACCAAAUUGACUGAAUCCCUCAUCAAAAAUUGGCUUUGUUCAAAAGGCUUUCUACCACAAACCAUUAAAGACUCCAAAGUCCAACAAACCUUCCUAACCCAAAAAUCCAAAGGCCAAUCUCUCCUGGCUAGUGCCAAAACUGAAGAUGAAUACUUCAAAGUCAUGGAACAACUCCUCACCUCCAGAUCAAAGUCUUCAGUAGCUGACACCUCUGAAGAAGAAGAAGAAGAUGAAGAGCCAUUUGAUGAAGAACCAUUCAUUUCUCUUGGAGACAAUAAUGAAGAUGACUGUUUUGGAAUUUUCUCUCCAGUAAAGCAUUGUAAAUAAUUAUUUGAUUAUUUACUUAAAAAAAUGAUAUUCGGGUGGUCCCCUGGACACAAGAGAGAGCGCACAUGUCUCUUCACUCGGGGUGUAUUUUGUAUUUUGUACAAAGCAACAGCACCGCUACAGUGCCAAUUUCCAAAGUUUACUGUGCACUUAAAACUCCGCUACAGUGAACAGUUUAAAAUGUUUCUAUAAAAACCAAGAGGAAGACUUAGACUCCUCAGGUUUUUCAUUUCUCUUCUUCACUCCCUUCUCUCUAAAAAACUUCUUCUCUCUUCUUCUUCCCUUACUACUCUCUCUCUCUCUCUUCUUUCUCUCUUGAGAAAAAAGAAGUUUUCUGUAUUCAAGGAAUUUUCCUAUCAUCGGUUAAGUUUCUUGUUUUCAGAAUUUUUCUGGAAUCUCUCUUGUAAUCUCUUAAAGCUGUCGGAUCAAAAGAAAUAAAUGUAAAUAUUUUUAAAGCAAGUUUAAAUUUCCGCACUUUAAAUUUCUGCAAUUUAAUUUUAUGUACAUUUAAAUUUCCGCACUUUAAAUUUCUGCAAUUUAAUUUUAUGUACAUUUAAAUUUUCGUAAUUUAUUUUAAAGCAAUUUUAAUUUUAUGCAUGCAUUGCAGACUGAUCCGUAUCAGAUCUGCCAUAAAAUUUGUACAUUCCUCUGAGGCAAAGAGACCAGAUCUCGAUCCUCAGUUGUAAAUUUUCUUUUCUCCCUCCAUUCCCUCAGAGCACCAUUUCUGGAAACCGAAUCUGGUACUGUGUAUGCACCCAAGCCUUUUAGAUGAAUGUUUGUUGCUAGGCUUGCUAAAGAAUUUAAUAAAGAUUUGGUAAAUUUUAUAAAAGCAGACCAACCGCGAUUAAAGAACCUAAUCUAUAUUUGGUAAAGCAAAAUUGAUUUGGUAUAUCAGCUGGACACUCGAGGAUGCGGACUACUGGUCCAAAGCGCUAUUAAAAAUCAGCUUUAAAAUAGUUAAGCCGGAGCCAUUCCUCAGAUAACAACGCUACGUACCAUAUCAAGUCUAAAGUUUGAUCAACCGCGUUCCAAAGCAGAUCUAUCCAUUUAUUUUCAAAGAAUCUAAUAACCAAACUCGGUAAAGCUAUUUAAAAAGAACCAACUGCGAUCCAACUUGUUUUAUUAAAUAUCUUGUAAUCUCUUUGAUUUCUUUUUGAAUAUCUUGAAUUGUGGGUGUUGACUUCUUUGUUUUCUUUUUAUCCAAAAUAUGAGUAAGAUCAUAAGAUUUUUUUUUAAUAAUUGGGACUUUAGAAGUUUCGGCUUUAUUAAAAUCCAAAGUUUUUAAAAGUUUAUCAAGAUAUUCUUUUUGAAGAUUCGGAUCAGAAAUAUGCUUUACAAGUUCAAGAAAAGUUUCUUGGUCUUUAGUCAAAACAUUGAUUUUCUUUAAAAAUGAAUCAGAUUUAGAUUCAUUACUACUAGAUGCAGAGUCAUCUGAGUCAAAUAGCUCGUCAACUUGAUAUGGAUCACUGUCUCCUGACAUAGAAGACUCGGAAUCAGAAGACUCGAUAAGAAGAGGGGCUAAUUUAGAAAGGAUCUCAUCAUCAAGGUCAAGCUCAUGAAGUUUUUUGUUCAUUCUGCAAUAUUUUGCAGUAUGACCUUUUAUGCCACACUUGUGACAUAUAGCUUCUCUGUAAUUGAAAGGAGUGUUAGGUUUGGCUUUAAACUCUUUUUUAGAGAAUUUGGGUUUCUUAUAAGGCUUCGAAGGUUUCUUAUAAGGAAGUUCUCUAAAAUUACGAAAGGGUUUCCUAAAAUUUUUAGAUUUGUAAUGUUUCCUGCGAGAUUUAGUAGAACACUCACCAUUACAAUCUUUGGAGAUAGAAGUUUUAAAGGGGUCAUAAUUGAAUUGUUUACAGAAACCGCCUAAUUCUUGUUUAGACUUCUUAAGCUCCCACUUAAGUCGUUUCUGUAAUUUCAAAUCUUGACAAAUCUUUAAACCUUCUUUAUUGAAAAAACUGACAAGUUCACCGUAAGUGAGCUCAUCAUAAGGAAUACGGUUAUCAUAAAGGGUUUUGAUGGAAUUUCUUACCUUUUCACCUAAAAGGGUAGGUAAUCCAGCAAGGAAUUUUUCUUUCCAAGUUAUAUGAUUUGUAUCAUCUCUUAGAAAUAGUCUGCUAAAAAAUGAGGUUUUGUAACUUUGAAAUUCACUAAGUUUCCUACAUCUUAAAUUAUGUAGUAACUCAACGUUUUUAUCUCCAAGGUGUGAAGGGUCACCAAUGAAAUGAAGGGAAAUAGUUAAAAUUAGAGUAGCAAUAGCAUCCUAGAUUGGAUUGUUGAACUCAUCAAGAAUAGGGACUCCAUUUUCAUCGACUUGAAUGGAAUUUAAAAUGUCUAAUUGUUGCUGAUUAGUGAGAAGAUGAUCCCAUCAACCUUUUAGUUGACCAGUAAAACCGGCAAUGAGGAUUUCUGAUAUGGCACGAUCAGAAGUUCCUGAUUGGGUUUUAUAGGCAUUGGCUGCCAUUGUCAUUUGUUGCAACAAUCAUAGGAUAUUGUAUUCGGACAUACUGUCAAUAUUCCACUCAUAGACUGAAGAUGCAUUGUAUCGGGAUUGAUUUAAUGCACUUGGUCUAUUAUCUAUUGCUAGAUCCGGUGGAGUCUUGACAGUGGGAAUGGCUAAUUCCCAAUGAAUUUUGUUGGCUUUAGGAGUAGAAGGUUCUUCUUUGAAGGCUUCUAUAUCAAAAGAGGCUAUAGACAUUUGGUCUUGUUCUAAUACUCCAAUCUUGCUAGAUUGAGAAGUAUCAGGGGCUAUCUGAACUUUGCUAGAUGAGGAAGAAGCAGCUUCUAUCCUAUCUAGUUGUUCUCUAAUGGCUUUAGCAAAAUCUGAUUUUGACUCUUGAACAAGCUUUUGGCUAGUUUUCGAAACCUGAAAAGGUUUGAAAAUAGGUUCCUUAACCUUUUUGUCAGAAUCCGAUUUUGGUGGAAUCGAAGAAACAGUAAUGGUUGACUUUUGGAAUUGGUUUUCUAUCCUAGUCAACUGCUUUCCGAUUGUAUUUAAGUUGGUAUUACAGAAAUUAUUUUGUUGGAUAAUACUACUUAAAUUGGCUUCAGAAUCAUUUGGCUUUGGAAUUUUGUAAGGUGAAGCUCUGAUUUGGACAGGAGGUUCUCCAUGAUCAAUGGUUACACUCCGAAGAGGUGGGUGUUCAGACUCUAUGAUUCUAUUGCUAUCAAGAAGUUUCCAUUCGGGAAUUUUCUUCCGAAUAGUAAUAGGGUUUGACUCUUUAAAAGAAUAUUCAAUGUUGUUCUCAGAAGAAUAUAUUUCGAACCAAUUAAAAAACAAUAUAUGAACUUGAUGAAGAUUAACAAAUUCAUAAUAGAUUUGUUGGAUUUCUUUCCUUUGAUUUAAAAAAUUCUUAAAAAAUCAAAGUCUUUUUUCUUUAUUAAAGUCAGAGUAAAAAUCAUUAUGAAAAAUAUUUUUAUCAAGCUCAAAAUUCUUUUCAAUAACAUUUAUGACAUUUUCUGUGAUAGCAGAAAAAGUAGGAGAAGUUGGAGGAGAAAGUUCAUUCUCUUCUUGUUUUUGUUCAUGUUGACUACUAGCAUAAAUUGGAUAAUGAACAUUUGUGGUAUAGUCAACAGAACGAAUAGAUGAACUUGGAAUAUCUGAGGUGGAAAACCUUUAAUAAAAAUCUAAAUAAAAAUUAUAAUUAUAAAAAUAGUUACAAAAUUUUGAGAUUUAAAUAAAUAAAUUCAGUUAUUUUAAUAAAAUUUUGUAAAAUUAUAAUUUUUAAUAAAUAAAUUCAGUCAUUUUUAUUAAAAUUUUACAAAAUUAUAAUUUUUUAAUAAACAUAUUUAUUAAAAUUUUGUAAAAUCUAAAUUAAACAAAAAUCAGCUGAGCACAUUUGUUUGUGAUUUAUUGUUUAUUAAAUUUAGGGGUAUUUUUAUAAUUAUAAUUUUCUUAUUUUUCAAAAUUUUUUUCAUUUAAUUUAAAUUAUUUAACAAUAUUAGUUAAAAAGUGACUAGUUAAUACAAAUUGAAAAAAAAAAGUGAUGCAUAAAAUAUGUUAAAAUUCUUUAGUAGUUGGAUGAACAUAAGCCAAAAUAUAAGUGGUGCAGUGAUAAUUUCUCUAAAAUUAAUGAAGAAAUAAUGACAUUUGAGGUAAUAUAAAAUUUUCAUAUUUUUAAAAGAUAAAUUAAGGUGCCAUAUUUACCCAAACAUAAAUAAUAAAUUCAUGAUUAGUCAGAAACAAUAAGAAACUCAUCAAUACAAAAAUAAUAAUCAUAAUUGCAAAUAAAGUUUUUAAUUUUUUUAAUUGAAAUCUUUAGUAUUUUUAAGACUGAACAGCUCAUUUACUCCGUAGAAAAGUUUUAUACUGAAAUGAACAAAUUGAAAAAUCCAUGCCGUUUUAAAAUGUUCAACCGAGAUUAAAAGUUUAAAACCAAGAUUCAUAUUCCAACCGAAUAUUUUUUGUAAUCUAUUAAUAUAAAAUAUACAACAAUAACGGCUUCCUACCAUUGCUUCUGUAAAGCUACCAGGAAUCACAAUUAUGGAUACAAAAAGGGGAUUACACAACCAACAAAUCUUUCCAAUUUUUUUACCAAGGACAUAUCCCCACUGAAUUUACAGAACCUGGAAACUCCAACAUACGCUUUUCUUUUUCCUUUAAAGAAAAAAAAAUAAUCUAGUAUUCUGGCAUUCUCAGGCUAAUAAACAACGGUAAUCUGACAAAAGUGUUUACCUAGGUAUUCCGAGAUUGAAUACCAGCUUCAGCCUCUGAUAAGCUCUCAUGAUACUCAUCUAUUAAGUAGUCACAAAGUUCCAGAAGCUGAUCUGCAAGGGGGGGAAUAGCAGGAUGGCGUCCAUCGUUGUACUUAUGGGCAUUAAAGGCAAUUUGCCAUACAUCGUGUCUAAAAUCCUCUCGGUCCUUGUACUCCAUCCGCCUCACCUUACCCCUGAUUGUGGACAAAUCCAUGGGGCGCUCUAUGAUAUCCAGGUAAUCAGGAGCUUCUUUCUUGGCCACUGGUUUAAGGAAGAGAUAUGACAACUCAGUAUUUUCUCGGAGGGUCUCUACAAUGCGCUCUAAUAUGUUCGACAGACCAACCUGUAAGAUAAUUGAUUAGGAAAUUCAAACAAAACAAGUCCCAGUCCUUAAUUGAUAUAACACUUAAAGGAGAAAUGCAACAAACCCAACUCAACAAUUAGACAUAACAAUCAAUAAAGCCCUUCAAACUUAUUCCCCUUUUCAACAUAAAAGGAACUACCCAGGAGCCUUUAAUUUGAUUUUUUAACUACCUGUAUGCUUGUCCUUUUGAACCACAACCACCCCAUACAAAACCUAAUAGUAAGUUUUCAAUCUUAGUCCAAUUUACUUUAUUAAGUAGAUAUAGAAAUAUUAUCAAUGGUUGAAAAAUAACGAGGUAUAAUGUGCUCAAUAUGAAAGCACAUAUGAUGAAAUCAAGGAUAGAGAUAAGAUAGUGCAUACCUCUCCCCCUCUGCGUCGCUUUGUUGGAGGUCCAUAAUCUGCACUGUGCUUUCCCAACUCUGCGCCAGGUUUCCUCUUUGCACCUCGAUCUCUUUCUGGCAUCCUUCUAUCAUUUCUUUUAGCCCUGUAGUCCUGUAAAUAAUCAUCUCCUAUUUCAGGUUUUUUCUUCUUUUUCUUCUUCUUUGCCUUUUGGAGGAGUUCUUCCUCUCUCUCUUUUCUGAUGGAUUCUUCAUAUCUCCUAAGUUCAGCAAACCUUUCCCGCUCUUCCACAAACCUCCUUUCUUCCUCAUAGAUCCUCCUUGCCCUUUCUUCUUUGAUCCUCUCAGCAUUUCUUCUCUUCUCUUCCUCUUCCCACCAAUUCCUCUCAUCUCUCACUUUCCUUUUUGCUGAAUCAUUAGUCAAUAAAGGGAUCUGCUUUUCACGCUUCUCGAAAUUUGACAAUUCAACUAUUUUCUUAGUUUUUCUAUACUCCUGUGGGGACCCAUCCUGACUAACCCUGUCCAGAUCAAUAAUCUCUUUUGGCCGUUUGAUUAUGAUUUUCUUUUGAGGCGGCUCUCUAUCUUUAUCAGCAGGUGGACGUAUGACAAUAGAGGGUUUAUGAUAUUCAACUAGUUCUCUAUCUGUAGUUGUUACGGGCCUAAUAAGAAUGGAGGGCUUAUGAGAUUCAACUUGUUCUCUAUCUGUAUUUGCUGGGGGUCUUAUAAUAAUAGAGGGCUUAUGAGAUUCAGCUUGGCUUUUAUCUACUGUAUCUACUGGAGGCCGUAUUACAAUAGAGGGUUUAUGAGACUCUACCUGUGUUUCUUCAGGUCUUGGCUUGUUAGAAAUUACUAUUCUAUUAACCUUACCAACAGACUUAUUCGCAGUUUCAACGACAUCAGAAGUACUUGGUUGGUCGGAACUUUGUGUAGAUGCAACAGGAAAUUUAUCAGGAAGCUUAUCAGCUGAGCUGCAUUUAAAUUUUACUGGAACCACUUUCGUCUUCAAACUGGAUUUUUCAUCUUCAGGAGCUUCGAUCAAAGCAAUUUUUGUUGCACUUUUAGAUAUGAGCUUCUUUUUCUUCAGGCUUUUCGGCUGGGACUGACUUGAAGGGUCCAGAGAGUUAGAUUUUCCCAAGGAUUUAUCCAUGUCUGCAGUUUCAAGCUGCGUUUCUGGAUCUGCUCUAUAUCUGGGGCAGUUUUUGUUGGUCCUCAUGUGUCCAUGCUGGUCAAUCAUGAGGAAAAAAAAAAAAUCACUGUUAAAAUAUAUUCUUAAAUAACACACAGAAGCUACGUUAACUUUGAAUAUUCUGCACCUGACCACAAGCUCCACAAACAAAAGUCUCCCUUGAUGAUUUUUUCUCCUUGAACAUCUGGUUUAAAACAAAAUCACAUGUUAUGAUAAUCUUCACAGGAAGCAUGUAUGUGUGUGCGUGCGUGCGUGUCUAUAUAUAUAUCAACCCAAUGCACAAGCUAUGUGGUGAAAGCAACACUACAGAUCCAUGGGACACUGCCUCUGAAAUUAUUAGUAGCCAAAGAAAACAAGGUGAAUAUUAAAGUAAAAAGUAGCUUAUACAUUUAUACAAAAUAUCCAGGACAUGAUAACCAAAAAAUUCAUAGAUAAUAUUACGAUGCACAAAAUUCAACUGAACUUAGUGUUAGUAGCAAAUGUAAAGAUAUGACCUUCAAAUCAAUUAAUCAGAGGAUGCAUUCAUGAUAUUUCCUUUAGAUAGGGAGCAUAUUAUAUAUUAAAAUUUAAGAAACAAAAAUAGUAGGGUCCGCUCAUUCUUCUCCAUCAUAUCAAGGCAUGAUUGGACAGUACCAAUAUGAUUGAGGAAAAAGAAAAGAAAAAACUCCUAAAAAUCUCUUAACGAUGGAGUUCUUACACUAUCUACUACAAUCUGCCAUGUGAAGUUAUAAUGUAUGCGUGUUUGUUUGCAAGUCUUAUCUAAACAGUAUUGGAAUUCUAAUAUUGACAUGUUCCUUUUACAGUCAAUUUUUCAAAUAUCCACAGAUCCUAGAAUCAAGGGGAAAAUGUUCUAUGGUGAUAGUAUGAUUUGAAGAAUCCCAAUACCACCCCAUUACUUCUUAUUCACUGGCCCAGAAAAAAAUAUUUCAUCUGACACUCUUCGAUAACCAGUAGAUCAUGGGAUGUGAUCCUAGAUUUCAAGUCAUAUGAUUAACCAUCGAUUCUGAAUACUAUCAUAUAUAGUGGCUGUCCAUAAAGGAUUUACACUGGAUGUACUAAAGCAUGAUAACGACAAUAUGGAAGUCCAGAAAUAUAUCUAUAAGCUCUAUGGUUGUGAACAACAGGGAGGAACUGACUAGAAUAAUGAUGUGACGCAAAAAUUAAAACUUGCUUCUGUACUCUUCUGUUAUUGCUAACAAGGAUCCUCCCAACAAUCACACUUCCGAACUAAUUAUCCAGACAUCUUUGAGCUUGCAUGUAUAUUUCUUGUAUCACCAGCCAGAUCCUCUCAACAGUCACUUUUUCAAACACUUAUUCAGUGCAACUAUUGGGGAUUUCACAAUUCUAAAUACAAAGGAUAAUCUACUAAAUGCAGUAAGAGAAAAUGAUAUAUAUUAAACUUGCCUUGCCAUUAUCUACCACUAUCUUGACUUUUUUGCCCACUGGUGAGAUACUAUUCUUUUUCAUUGCUUGCACCUUUCCAGACAGGUUUCUUUUAGCAAUUAGACUCUCCUCCUGUCACCACAUAUAAGAGAGUCAAUAGCAUCCUCAAGUUAAAGGAGAAACUAACAACUCAAAACCACUUACCUCCUUUGGAUCUUUAAUCUGCUCAUUUGCAGUGUGGGAUCCAUUUGGUUGGACUGUAAUUGCAAUAUGCUUAGCUGGUUUAUUUGGCUUCUUAAGCCGUUCAACGAUCUCAAGACCAGAAAUUGAUUUGGCAAGAGAUAAUCCUCCUUCCACUUGAGCUUUUGUUUUCUUUUUCUUUUUCUUCAGCUCAGCCUCAUCAUCUGCAAAACAUGGUAUGGUUGACCACAUCAUUAGGUGUUAAUAUAUCUUUCUGGAAUACAGCAAACAAAACAGAGAUAUACAGUAAUCACAUAAAUUGUCUAAUAAAGCAACAGUUUCAGUUCCAUUCAAGGAGCUUUGCUUAGCAUAGUUAAACAGACAGUCCAAAUUUUUUGUGACACUAGACAAACAUGCUUGGAAAGAAUCCAUAAAUUGUGGGCCAUCAUCUGUUUUAACUGUGGGCCAUCAAAAACUAAAAAAAUCCAUUUCAUAAGAGGACUGCAUUUGUCAUAUGUUAUUGGUUAGCAGAUGUAUAAAUACAGCUAAUGCUCAAAAACUGCAAUCUUAUUUCACUUUAUGGAUGGAGAGUAUGUAUCAAAUAAAAUCAGGUAUAAACUAGUAAUCUUUUUACGUUUUAAAAGCAAUACAGAUUAUUUAUCAUGAAUUAAUAGACAAGGAAGAAUUAUCUGUAAGCAUAAUGUGUUGAUAUUUUCUGACUACUAAGCUUUCUCCAACAGUACCAACAUAUAAAAAAGGUUUUGGACUUACACAACAGAAAGAUUACUGACAUCAACCUAUUUAAGGUCUAUCCAUAUACAUAAUUCAAAAAAUAAUAUUAAAAACAAAAGGGCAUCCCCAAUCUGUAAUGAGUCUCCAGUAUAACCCACAAACGCUGACAGUUAAUACUGCAGAGAAAAUUAAAAUAAGCAGUUAGAAAACAAAUAGUCCAUACCAUCCAUGAGUAGCCUGCAUAAUUCAGCCGCUUCAGCUGCUUCAUCUUCAAUUUCCUCUUCUGCCUGUACUUGGAUAGGACGCCUUCUCAUUUUAAGACCCUUAACACCUUCCACUUUGUCAUGCUUUGUAUCAUAAUUGCUCUCUUCUUCUUCAAAUUCCUCAGCAUCAAGCAAAUUUUCUAGAUCCCCAGCAAAUGAAUCCAGAUCACUAUGCUCAGAGUCACUUCCAAUUUCAUCGUCAUCAGCAGCUGAAAGAGACUGAACUUGUCUAUCCCAAAUCUCCUGACACUUUCCUCGGGUCUGUUGUUGCAGCUGAAGAAAUGACAUUCGCUGGCCACGUGCAUACUUGCUAAUAGUUGUUGGAUCAACCUGGACACCUGAUGCUGCUUGCUCACUUGAAAGCUUGCGAAUCAUAGCAAUACGAUGCCAUCUUGUCUGCUUUGCAAUCAUUUCCUCAGGCACAUUGAACUUGAGAAGAACCUGGUGAUCAAAAGGAUAAUGUUAUUACAUUGUUCUAAAUAUAUAGAGUGAUAAAUUUUAGGUUAUUUAUUACAAAACACGAGAUUAAGUUUCCUACAGUAGGAAAGAAAGGAAAACUUUUUUUUUUUGGAGUUGGGGGGGGGGGGGGGGGGGAGUGGACAGAACUUUGUGACCUCCCAUUCAAAUAAAAGUAGAAAAUUUUACUUUUUCAUCAAACUCACANNNNNNNNNNNNNNNNNNNNNNNNNNNNNNNNNNNNNNNNNNNNNNNNNNNNNNNNNNNNNNNNNNNNNNNNNNNNNNNNNNNNNNNNNNNNNNNNNNNNCCCCACCCAAGCCCGAAAACAAUCUUCAAUAUAACUUAAGACAGGUCAUUGAUUAAGUCCUCAGAUAUCCUAUAGAUUAUCUACAAAACAUAAUCAACUCCAUUAACUCCAACCAAGUGAAGUCUAAGGUAUGCAGCCUCUUGUUUCUAGAGGCCAGGCCAAGAGACAAGCAGAUGACCCCCAAAUAUCAUAUAAUUUUUGCUGGUAUACACCCUAUGCCUCCAAACAUCAUAUAAUUUUCCUGCUAUAAGCUUGGCCAAGUAUUUGGACAAGAAAAGUUCAAGAAACUAAUCGACUGUCAAGUUAAAUGCUGAUAAUUUUUUCUAAGUUAAAAGAUGUGCUUCAUGUUAAGCAUCUUAAUCUCACAAAAAGAUAGAUUAAUGGAACUAUUAAAAUCCCAAUUUCUUACCUCUCUUGCAGCCUCCAUGCUCAGCCUACGAAGAUCAGCAUCUGUUCCAGUAACAGUAGAACCUCCUCGAUUAGCAGCUGCUUUUUUCUUCACCAUUGCACUUGACACUGAAGCUUUGGGAGCAGCACGGACAUAACUAAAUCCUAGGCCCCGACCGGAUGGAUCACCAACACCAGUUAUUUCCAAACGCUCAAUGUUUUCCCUGUCCUGAAGUUAAACAGAUGCAGAACAUAGAAUAAACAAUACAAAAAUAUAAUGCAGAAGAGAAAAGGAAAAACAGGAAGUAGUGUAUGUUGAGCGUAACGCCCCAAAAACCUUCCAUACUAUGGAUGAACACCCCCCCCGCCCCCACCCCAAAAAAAAAAAGUGAAACAGAAUGGGAUACCACAACGAGAAUUGCAUAAUUAAAGAUUGGCAAAUAGGUCCAGCACAAAGUAGAAAUAUUCCACCACUAGAACCACGGUUUACAAUGAAGGAGAAAGGGAAGCACUAUAAUACGUUUUAGCCCAGGGUUCAGAACAUUGCAUACGCACACACGCAAAAAAGGUGCAAACUUUCAUCUGUCAGAUUGAUUGAUUCACCUGGUUUGUGCAGGCAACAAAGUUGCUACUCAGGUUCCAUGGAGUUAUCUGAAGCUCCCUCUCAAUAUGAGAUGCAGCAGCUAGAGCAAUUGCUUCAUCAGGGAGUUGACUCAUGGCUGAGGAAAUGCUAGCAGGAAGAGUUAAUUGUGUAAUUCCCAAAUGUUUGAGCCGGUAGAGACCAGCUUGCAUACUUUCAUAGGAGCAGACCUAAGCCAUAAUGAUAAAAAAGGGAGCAGAAGGAAAGUAGUAAGCAAAGCAUAUAAAUGGCAGGAUAAACCAGAAACAAGAAUGUGGAAAUCAUUAACUGUAGCAGCACAAAGCAAUUAGAAUAUAACACCUACAUUCUGGUCUAACAAACGAGCACUGAUGAUAAUAAUUAGACACCAUGUAACAUACUAAGGUAGUUGUUAUAAGUUAGCACUGAAUUUUAAAAAUGAACAAAAGUCCCAUUUAUGAAUCCAAGGGCAAGGAAACAAAUCAUGCUAACCCAAUAACUCAUUUUGAAGAAAAUAAAAUUCUUAGAAACAGGUAAAACUUACUAAGCUCGUUGGAUACCUGAUGUGGUUGUAAUAAAAAAAUAAUAAUAAUUAAAAAAAAAAACAGGUUUUGGUUAUGGAAAGCAAAAGGCAUCUGAAAUAUGUAUUAACUUACAUGCUCUGGAUACGCUAAUUUUCUCAAAUCACCCUCAGACGGAAUGUGGAAGGUACGCUUCAUAGACCAAACCUGCUUUCCGUUUCCAUCCCGCUGUAGGUUGCAUUUGCAUGUUAAAAAAACAGGUGAGUAUAAUAAAAUAACAACUAUUAAAACAGGACAGAAAGGUAGAAUAAAGCUUCAAGCAUGUAUUCAAGCAGCAGUAAAUUACCAAGGUGAUACGAGAUGAACAUAUCCAAAAGAACAGCUUACCCGCAAAAAAGCACAUUCCUUCAACUUCUUCCGUAUAAUUGCUUCUGAAAGGUUAGGAAACUGCACAGACAACUCAUCUACACCAAUGCAGGGCAGCAAACCACGUUUUGCAGCAGCAGAAAAUUCACGAUAUACAUUUACCAGCAUCCUAUUUAUGCUAUACGUCUGAAGGUUUUUUGAUCCAGGAGACAUUACCUCCAUGAGGGGCUCCUGCAAAUAUAAUCAACAAAAUAUAAUUUAUUAAUCUCCUUCAAGAUUAUAAAAGCUCUGUUGAUGUACUGAAUUUGGAAGAUUUGCAUAUCAUAUUGGCAGUAAUGCUCAAUCGGGUAGGAUUUUAAGUUGAGUUAAAGUAGAAUAGUUUUCCUUUUAGCUGCUAUAGGUAGGCCUUGUUAUAUAUUCGAUAAAAGAGCUAAUGAUUAUUUGAGAAUAAAAAGCCAAAUCCCCCCCCCCCCUUCCCUCACAGUUUCCUCUCUAUCCUUUCCUAAUUUUUGUUCUCCUCUCCCUAAUUUCUGAAUGUUUUCUCCAUUUCUCUCUCUUAGUAGUUCUCCUCUUCUAUUUCUUUAUUUUUCACUUGAUUUCUUCCUCCAACCAAUUAUAGCCUACCAUUACUGAAUCAGAAGCAUAAAUCUCCACCGACACACCAUCUCCAAAGAUUCAGAAAUCUUUCUAGUUUAAACACAAAAUGAGGAAAAUAUUAUUAGUUUUAGGAACACUUGAUUAGAGCUAAAUAGUUUCAAGUGUCAACAAACAGGUCUAUACUGAAAUUACAACAAUAUUCAAUACCUGCCAUAAAUUCCACAUUCCCCCCCAAGCCAGUUUCAAAAGAAGGAAAUCUUUCAUGCUAUAAAUGUCCAAAUUUCAUCAAAUUUCAUGCUAUCCCACUACUUAACCAAACAUUAAGAAAACAUUACUAGGAGCCAUUAUAACUGGAUGACUUGACAGUAUAGUUACACAAAUUGAUGCUUUCCCAAUGAAAGAAAUGAAUUAGAGGAACAGAAGGAAGGAAAUAAAUGGAUCAAAAGUAAAUCUUAAGGACUCUAAUUGGCAAGUUUACCCAAAUUAGUUAAUAUCCAAAAUGUCCAAAAUGAUGCAGCUGCAGAAACAUAAACCAAUCUCAGUUCUGUCUAAUCCCACUUUAAUAUUUACUGCCUACUUUUAUGCUAUAUCCAUUUGUUUACAGUAUUCAAAAUAUCUUCAACUUUGUAGUUAAUUUUUUACUUGAUGUGCUCAAGUUAACUCAGAAAUAGAUGCAUGUUCCCCUUAUUUAAAUGUCUCAUCCUGCAAACUAAAUUACUAGCACUCUAGCAGUGAGAAAAAAAUCAUAGCUAUCAUAAUAAAAUUUCGUGGGGCAUGGCAAUACAGGGAUGGACCAGAACAAUAACAAACCUGUUGCCCAACAACAGCAACCUUGUCAAUCCGUCUAAUGGAAAUCUUUCCCUUUGCAGAUCGGACCAACAAAAAAUCAGUUGUUGCCACCUUAUGGGUAAAGACAGGAGCCCUAUACAUGUUUGUUUCAAGAGAGGACUGACUGCAACCAGCUUUUAUGUCUCCGAGGAAAGGGGACUUAUCGCCAGGCUCUAGUGUCAAGACAUUCCCUAGGCAGUUGUUUCCACUGCACAGCAGAGCGCCGGCUUGAUCGCCUGGGUAAGACUUUUGAUAAUAAGUGCAUAGGUUUGCACCCAUUCCAGCAUUGCUCAACAGCAGAGGUCUCUCCUCACAAUACCUGCCAAAAUAAAGAGUAAUGGUAAUCUCAAACUUUCUUUAUUUAUAUACAAAUGAAAUUUAUUACCAUUCAGAACCCAAGGCAAAAGCAAAGCUUGUUGGUUUGUUGGUGGGAUUACAUCAUCAAUCCUAGCAAUUCUUCAAGUACUUACUUCCCAACUUACUUCUUUUUUAAAAUUUAUUUAUACAUUAUGAUGAAAAAUAUAAAUACUAGCAGGUAUUCAUAGUGAACCAGCAGUACACUAAAAGCACAUAAAAUAAAAUAAUAAUCUAUUUAAUUUGCAUUUUAAUUGAUGUAGCACAGCGUUAAGCAUUUGACAUAAAUAAAUAAUAAUAGUAAAAAGAAAAGAAAAGUAAGCUUAAGGAACUGUGCUGUUAAGUCUUCAGAUACCUACAACUAACAAGUAAUAAGAAUAUAAGACAUUGUAAGCUUAACAACCUCAAAAGAAACAGAAGAUUCUAGACAAAAGAUAGUAAAAGCAAAAUGGGUCAUUAAUUAUUCCAAAACUCAGUUAAUGACAUUUCUUGUUCAAAAACUCAGUUAAAGACAUUUAUAUUUUCUAAUUAACAAGUCAUCCAAAUUUAGAAAUAUCAGCUGUUAAGUAGUGCCGAUUAUUAUCAUACAUGCUUAAUGAACUAUGUUUAUUUAUAAAGACAUCUCUGAUGGUAACGGACUCACUUCAUGUGCCUCUCAUAGCAAAUAUUACAGCAUCAACCUAUCCACCAAGGCUUGACUGCAAUGCUCUCCUCAUUAAUGAACUUUGCUCCUAAGUUAUACUGACUACUAAACAAAAAUCAUUCAGGGCCAUGUAUCGUUUUAUUCUUGUUGAUAUGAUUAGAAUAGAUUUCAAUUUCAGAACAUAUUUAACUCCACAUAAAUUCUGUUAGUAUGACCAUCCAAUAAUAUCAAUCCAUCUGUGCAGUGAUCUGCUAUACAUGACACAAUAAAAGUCCAAGUGAAUAUAAUGGAAGACAAUAAAAUGGGAUAUAAACAGAGAAAAGAGAAAAGUACUUACUCCAUUAGAAAUACAUGACCAUCUUUCACAGAAAGAUCUGAUUUCUUCUUAAAUGCACCGGGAGGGCGUAAAGAUUUAUUCUCCCCAGGAAGCUUUUGCGCCCUUGGCAACAAAUGUAUUUUUGUGCGUAUAAGAUGAAUCAAGGAAUUUGGGCGGACAUUUUGGUCAGCAAGAGAUUUAUGGUCUUCAAGCUCCUUCCCCAAGUAAAAUAGUUUAACAGAUUCUGCAGGCUUGAAAUCUACAAGAACAAAAGUACAAAUUAAGAUGUUAUCCUUCUUCACAAAUUCUUAAGUCUUAAACCUUAAAAUCAUCAAUGACACCAAACAUUUAUUUGAUAAGAACUACACAUAUAGAGUGAUAAAUGUGUAUCAAAGAAAAAUGACAACCUAGCUUCUUCGAAGCCUUUGCUUUGAUGGAGUAGACUGUUUCCUCAGCGUCCACAUGCAGUUUACUUCCUUUGCCCCCUAAGCUCUUUACUAUAACUUUCAUGGGUCCUUGUGUUGGCAGCUUUCCUUGUUCUUUGACAGCCAUCUCACUGUCAUGUGGAUACCAUAGAGCUUUGGGCCGGUGAAAAUUAGCAAUAUCUUUACUGAAAGCAGCAGGUAAAAAACAAUUGCAUAAGAUGGAAUGCGGUAACGAAGCAAUUCAGUUGCAUGAAAAGCUUGGGAACUUGGGAAAUCAUACAGAACAGAUAUAAAAGAAAAAAAAAAUUAUAUAUUACUAACAGUAGGACCCUGUCUACAGGUUUAGGAAACGUGGUUAAUUUUGCAUCAACCAUUAGCCAUUAACUCUUGAAUUUUGUAUUCUCAAUAAAUUGAAGAAAUCCUUAUAGUAUACAGACUGAAGUCGAGCAGAAGCCCAAUUCUUAGUUUAAGGUGAUAUAUUUGCACUGGGAUCUUGCUUCCCUAUUAGGGACAUUUGCGGGGAGAGAAAGCAAAUGACAGGAAACAAAAUUUGAAGCUUCUUUUCAUUCUUUCAGAGUGGUUUAACAAUACUCUCUAAUGAAUUAAAAUAAAAAAAUAAAAAAAUAUAUAUUGGUAAAAUUAUUGCUUGAGUUAUAUAAAUAUGAAAUGAGAACAAUUCAACAUAGUUUAGAUAUUAAGGGUGCGUUUGGCAACGUUUUUAGUUUCCUGUUUUUCAUUUUGUGAAAAGAAAAAUGGAUAAAACUUGUUUGGUGGGCUCGUUUUUUUAGGAAAAUGCUACAGUGACAAGAAAUGAAUCAUUUCUGUUCUUGAAGUUUGUGAAGGAAACUAGAAAAGCCAUAUUGGCAUUCUCAAAUUUUUGUUCUCUGCCAAGGGUCUCACAAAUUUGACUUUGUAUAAUCAUUGCAAUAAAUUUCAUGGGUCCUAAAAUAAAGAUGUCUUAUUUCCAUUAUUAUAAUAUAUAAAAAUAUAAGCCAAUGUAAAUAUAAUUAUAAAUUGAUUCAUAUUAUCUUAAAUAUUAUUAUGUUAUAAAUAUAACACAAUAAAAAAUACAUUACUAUUUUAAAAAAAUACAAAAUUAACUAUUUUUGGGAAUAUUUGUAAUAAAUUAAAAAGUAAUACACCAAAAAUAUAAUUUUCUAACUAAAUAAAUUUUUUAAUGACAUUACAAUAUAUUUUUAUAUUUAUUCUAUUACAUUACGAUACUAUAUAGACACUUUCAUAUUUAUCUACUUAAGUAAUAAAAGGCCAUUCACUGUUCCAACUUUUUCAGACGGACAACCAAACAUAUUUUCAUUUUCAUAUACUCUUUUUAAAAUAAGUUACCAUUUCUCUAAACAAAUAUAAAAAACAUCAAUUGGAAAACAAUACCAAAUGCACCCUUAGACAUUCUUAAGAAACGUGACAUCUAUAGGAUAAAAUGGUGUACCAUGGUGCAAACAGAAUUACCAGCAGAAUCUGAAAAACAUACAAUUAGCAGUGCAGACAACAUGGAAUGGAUCCUUACUUGCUUAACUUCAGUUUCAUUGUCUGAAGCUUAAGUGCAGGUGCAGAAUGAUGAACUCUGAUACCAUGAGCAGUGCGUUUGUUAGAAUUUGAUUGCAGCUGCUGGGAUAUUUUCCCAUUCAUAUAGAACUUGUCAUUAGCAAUAUUGAAUUUCCAGUCAGACGGAUAUUUUUGACCCGGCGGCUCGGUAAUAUCCCCACCGCUUGGCUUUGCAGAUCGAGUUAUGAUCAUAGCCCCUG
rnacentral:lncRNA from 1 species